rnacentral:lncRNA from 1 species
CAGAUUUGGGAACACAUCAGCAGGUGGUUUAUGGUAUGUUUUGAGUUACAUGGAAGCUAAGAAGAGGUUGAAGAAAGGUGAUAAGAUUUUCAUGGUGAGCCUUGGAGCUGGAUUCAUGUGCAACAACUGUGUGUGGGAAGUAAUGAAGGAUGGUUUGGAUGAUACUAGGGUUUGGGAAGAUUGCAUUGAUGAGUACCCUAGAAAAAACCUGGUCAAUCCCUUCACUGAGAAGUAUAGUUGGAUUAAUGAUGAGUGCUUGAACUUUGUCAGGCUUGACUAGGGAAGGUUUUAUUAACAAUUUAUAACCUUUUUUUAAUUAUUAUUUCGUUUUUAAUUAUCUUAAAAAUUACUAAAGAGGGUGAUGCCACUGAAUCAGAAAAAUGUUUGAAUGUCAAAAUUAUGAUAGCAAUUUGUCGGUUGUGCCCAUAUGUGAUAAUUUAAGUGAGUGUAUGUAUAGUUGUGUGACUUUAAAAGCUUAACAGUGAUAUUAAGCCAUGGUAAACCAUGUAAGACCAUAGAAGCUAGAAAGUUGCAAUUGGUUGUCCAUGGCAAAUAUGAAAGUUAUCUCUGGUGCUUAUAAAUUCAUGUUAAGUUUUGACACUUUUUGUACUUUUUUUUUAUGGUGGAUAAAGGAUUCGAUUUUUAUUAUUAAAUAGAUUAAUUUAAUUCCUAUAUUAUUAAAAAGAAUUAAAUUAAAUUAAAUUUUAGCAAAGUUAACAUUUACUGUUUAAAGGACAUACAAUUAUUUUUUUUCUUUUGUAGUUUAACUACAAAUGAAGAUUUCAUUUGCAAUAGGAUUGAGUAAGAAAAACAACUCAAAUCGAGGUGUUUGAACAGUUUAUAAAAAAUAAAUUAAAAAAUUGUGAUUAAAUGAACCAAACAAAAUUCUAUUUAAUAUAUAAUUAAAUUAUUUUUUAUGAUGCAAAAAAUUAUUUUAUAUUUAAAAUAGCGAGAAUAAUUUAAAAUUUUCAUAUAAGAGUUAUUGAUUUUUUUAUUUGCUUAAAAAAUUAUUACUUUUUAGAAAUACUCAUAAAAAGGACUUUGGAUUUUUAUAAAUUAAUGUUUAAAUAUCAUAAAACAAAACUCAUAUUUUUAAAAAUAAGUCAAAAAACUCAAAACUCAAAAGUAGCAUGAAAAAUUGAGAAUGGAACCGAAUUAUAAUGGACGGUUCAAAAAAUCCGAAAUACUCAAUCGAAUAGAGCAAAGCUCAUCCCGAAUUUAUGGAACCAUUAAAAAAAUUCAAAAUACUAACUCUCUUAAAAAGUAAAUUUUAUAUUUUCUAAAACAAUAAAUGUUAAUUCCUUUAAAAUUUGACCUCAUUUUGAUUCUUUUUAAUAGUAGAAUGACUAAAUUGACCCAUUUUAAUAAUAGAGGAAUUAAUUUGAUCAAAACCCUAUAAUAGAGGAACUUGUUAAAUACAUUACUAAUAAAUUAAAAAAGCCCUUAAACUAAUUUUUGUACUUAAUUAAGCUCCUAUCCUAUUAUUUUAUCCAUAAAAGUCAUUGAUUUUAAUAUUAAAGUAAAAUUAUUUUGACUUUUUAAAUUAAUUUGCAUUUUAUGUUGAUAUGAUGUGAAUAUGAUGAGAAUAAUUUAUUAAAUAAAAAUAAAAUAAUAGUUUAUUUUUUAGUUUUCUUCAUGUCUGUUUUACAACUCAUGUUCAGGAUUUGUGACUGCCCCUCCCAAUAAUUUCUUCUCCAAGGUUUGAACCUAUAUCUCCUCUUGAAAGUACAAUGUACUUUUCCAUUGCACCUAAACUUAUCAGUAUAAAAUAAUAAUUUUGAAAGUAAAAUAAAAUAUUAUUUUAAAUUUUCUUGAAAAUGUUUAAAUAGAUAUAUAACACAUUUAAUCACUUUUUUCUAAAACUUACACCCUUUUUUAAAUUUUGCAAAAACAUAUUUUUCAUAAGGACAUUUUCAAAUAUUUUGUAGAGUAAUUGCAUCAAUUAUAUAAUUUUUUUUAAAAAAAUUAAAAGUAAUAUUUUUAUAUUUUUUUUGUAGGGGACCCCACAAUAACGGAAGUAAAUUUCUUUUUUAGGUAUUGAAUCAAGUAAGAAUCCUGGUGUCACAUCACGGAUUUCUAAUUUAUAAAAUUGUAAAAUUAUAGUAAAAUUGAGUAUCCGACCUAGUGAUUAAGAGUUAGUGAAAUUAUCUUCAAGAUUUGAGGUUGAUUCUCUUCACUUACAAAUUCUUUUUCUUUUAAAUCAUGUGUCGUCCACCCCUAACAAAUUGUCAGAUUUUAGUCUGACUCAAACACUUUCAUUUUUUUUCUCUUCUUUUCCCCUAUUGUCGUCCCCUUCCAUUCUAUUUUCUCUUAAUUUUCCUUUCUUUUCUCCCUUUUUCUUCUCUUAUUUUCUCUUCACCCUUGUGCCGCCCCUUUGUGUUCUGUUCUUCUUCUUUUUUUCUUCUUGCCGAAUUACUGAUUACUUUGGCCAAAUUCCUCUAUACUGCUCAAACUAGUGAUUUUAUUAAACCAAAAGUAACUGUGCUAAGUUUUUGGAAAAUUUGAUUAAAAUGGUGAUUUUUAGACCGAACAUUUUUAGUUGAUCAUUCAGGUGGCUAAUAUAACCUUCAAGAUUCAGCUAUAAUGUCUAGGCCGAAUUUGAGAAGUUACACCUGAAAUUAACAUUGUUAAAAGGAUUUUACUUAAACACCACCUUUGAUCCAAAUAAAAUUAAACUAAUAUCGUAAAAUGGAUAAAAAUACUUAUAAUUUUAAAAAAAAAAUAAUAACACUUUCAAACAGAUAAGAAAAAUAGGUUGGGAUUUGUCAACGUUGAUAGUACUGCAAACACAUUUUACAUGUGUUUAAAAUCAAAGAAUGACAAAAUCAAUCAAUUUAUUAAAUUGAUGGAACCCAUCUCUAAGCUUGCGGUUCUUUUAUUGCUCAUGAGUUUGAUUAGAUUUUUUUUUUCAGUCUUAUAUUUUAUUCAAUUUCUCUUAAAUAUUGAAUAGACGUUUAAACUUAGAUGAAUCAACAAUGUCUUUACUCUCUUACCACCAUUUUUUUUAAUUAUAUUGAAUUUUUUUUAUUAUUUAUACCGAUUGAAAUUGUCAAAAAUUUAUAGGGAUAAACUAUAGUCAAGUGGCUAAAUUAUUAAUAAGUUUACAUAUUGGUUAUUCAACUUCAAAAGGUUACAUAAUGGUCUUUGAACUUUUGAAAGUUUUCAUUGAAGUUAUUAAACUAUUCAAAAGUUUUUAUUUAAGUCAUGUGGUUUCUAAGGGUUUUAUUUUAAGAGCAAGCUUUAAAUACCGAUUUGACGAUCAGUAUGGUGAAUCAAUACCCAUUGACAAGUACAAGAACAUGCCUUAGAUCUAAGUCGAUCUAUCAAUUAGUGUCGGAGAUCGGAGAAUAAAACUGUUUGGAUUUUGGUUUUUAGAUUUGUGAUGUUCAAAGUUGUUUUAUGAAAAAGAAAACUAAAUUGUAGAAGAUAAGAGAAAGAGAGCUUCCAAUUGUUGCAAACAUAGAAAGAUAUAAAGUAGCAGCAAUUUUAAUAGUUUAGUGACUUAAAUGAAAACUUACAAAUAGUUAAAGGACUAUUUUAUAAUUUUGUGAUCGAGACAUAAAUUUACUAAUACUUUACUAACCUUAAAUGUAGUUUAUCCAAUUUAUAAUCGAAUAGAUCUUUCUCUAUUAUCAACUAAAAACUUUAUCAACUAGAUCAAUUCAUAUUGAUGAAUCAAUAUUACAGAUUUUGGAUAUUAGAAAACAAAACACAAUGAUCCGAAACUGACUAAGAAGUACAUUUGAUAUAUGUAAACCCAAUAUGCCCAUAUUUAUUUUAUCUAAAUAAAAUUAUUUUUUUAAAAAAAUAUUAUUAAUAAUAAUCAUGAACAAUAAUAAUACAAAAACAUGAGGUAUAGUAUAAACAGGUAAACAAAUCAUUAUAAAAAUACAAAAAUGUCAUGCUUGCAGAAUAAUUUUAAACAAAAAUAACAAAUUGAUAGCAACUACAAUACUCAAACAAUUCAGAAACAGACUAGAAAUGCAUCAACUUAAUCAAAUCGUUGCAAUUUGCAUCCUAAUCUCGUCAUCAUCAAAUCAACAUGAUGAUUAAUACUGCUCAACUAAGAAAAAAUUGUCAAAAGCCUCAAGACACCAACUACAUUUGUGAUGCACAAAAGGCAAGUCACAAAUUGUCUAUCAUUAUCAUCAUCUCGAAUCUAUCAUCAUCAUUAUGAUCUAUCAUGAUAAAAUUUUUUGAAAAUGAUUCUUAAUAGAUCUGACGGUAUCCUUAUAUAGACAAAUCUCAUCUAUACGCCAAAACAUGAUUAAAAAUUAAAAGUAAAAAUAAAACAUCUACUUUCAAAAAAACAAAUUAGAUAAAACAAAAACCACAAAAUUGUGAAUAAAACCCGUGUAUUUAAAUUUAAAACAGAGCAAAAUUAAAAAAAGAAUGUUGCAGAACCGCUACUAGCUCGAAAGCUAACGUUGAAGAAUUAAAGAUUUUUCUAUGAAAAAAUAUUUUUUAAUUUUUCUUUAUGCAUAAUUAUUUAUUAAAUAAAAUUAUCAUUUAACUACAAUUUUAAAAACUUGUGAUGCAUACUACAAAGAAAUUUAUGGUGUAAAUUUUUUUUUAACACCUUUUAUGACUUAGAGACCGUCCUGUAAGGAUUUCCCAAUUAUAAAUCAUAAGCUAUUUGACAUCAAAUAUGGGAUCGAAAAGUAUAACAUAAUUAUCAUAAUUAGCAUGAUAAAUUAUUAUGGAUGGAUAUAAAGCUUUUUGCACAGCAAAUUUUCUAUUUCCAACCUCUAAAAAUUAGAACAUAUGAAGACAUGUUUAUACUAUUCCUUUUAUGAAGAUCUUCAUUAAAUUAUUUAUAUAUAUAACAUUUAUGAAUUUUGUUUUAAAGGUUUCAUUAUUUUAUUUUUUUAAUUAAAUUAAUAUCUUAUUUAUUCGUGACGUGAAAUUAAUAAAAUAAAUAAAUAAUAAUAUAAAUAUAAUAGCAUUCCCAAUUAAUUGAUGUUCAACAAUAUUUCUUAAUAAGAUGUUAACAAAAGUUAUAUGUCGUAAUCAUUUUUUUGAAAAAAUGGGGUUGACUUUGGUUUUGGAAAAUGAAAGAACGAGGAGAGUCGCCACCAAUCCUUUUUGAUGAGGUGUGAUCGGGUCACCUUAAAUUAAUCAUUUUAAUAAAAUUUAAGAUUUAUUAAAACAAUAAUUUUUGUUUUUUAUAUGUUUUAGCACACUCGAACCCACGUCCUUCUGCACUGGUAAUAAUAUCAAUACCAAUCAAGCUAAAAUUCAAUUAACAUUUUUACCUCAACAUAAUCCAAUUCUAGCUUAGCCUGAAAUUAGAUAUUAAUUUUUCUGUCUUGAAUUCGACUUGAAAAAUUAAAGCUACACUCAAAUCCGACCCGAUGUAAUAUGCCACAAUUUCAAUUUUUUUUUACAUUUUAUCAUAAUAGAAUAAUAAUUUUAUUAUUUUUUAAUAAUGCUAUUAAUUAUUUUUAAGUACAAUUAUAUUAGCGCAAAUAUUAAUAUAAAUUUUAUUAUAUAUUUUAAAUUAAUAUUGUAUAUAUAUAAAAAGGACUUGAUUAAUUAAAAAAUUGAUAAUUUUCUUGGAAUGGGCAGGUUUUCUUAAACCGGACUUGAUUAAUUAAAAAAAUUAAAUCCAUCUCCAAACCCGAUUUCAAAACUAAAAAAUCCCAACCCUAUAGGAUCGGGUCAGUUUGCAACCUAUCGGGUACAAGUUUUUCCAUCCGAAUAACCCAAUUGAAGACUAUAAAUAGACAGAUCUUGAUCUCAUAUACAAACAUCCCAUCCCCAUCGCAUUCUCUAAGCUUUUCAAUGGAGAUUUUAAUGAAAAUAUGUCUCCUAUUCCUUUGUAGCUUCAUUUCUUACGUUUUUAACAUGUUUUUUUAGAAGAGAAAUCAACAUUGCUAUAUGUUGGGUUACGAGUGUUUCAAGGCUGCCGAUGACAAAAAGCUCGACACUGGUGCCUUUAUGAGAGUUGUGAUAAGGAACAAGAAACUUGGACUGGACCAAUAGUGGUUUCUUUUAAAGACCAUUGUUAGUUCUGGUCUUGGUAAAGAAACUUAUGGUCCAAGGAAUGUUGUUGAUGGUAGAGAAGAAUUUCCUUCGGAAAACGAUGCACAUGCUUAGAUAGACGAGAUCAUGUUUAACACUAUCGAUAAUCUAUUCGAGAAAACAGGAGUUUCUCCAUCCAAAAUCGACAUACUCGUCAUCAAUAUCUCGUUGUUUUCACCUGCACCAUCAUUAACAUCCCGGAUUAUAAAUAGGUACAAGAUGAGGGACAACAUUAAGUCCUUCAGUCUCUCCGGAAUGGGAUGUAGUGCAAGCAUGGUUGCAAUCGAUCUGGUGCAAUAGUUGUUCAAGACAUACAAGAACCAGUUCGCCAUCGUUGUGAGCACCAAAUCAAUCACUAGGCAUUGGUACUACGAAAAAGAGAAAUUGAUGAUGUUAUCGAAUUGUCUGUUUCGUAACGGAGGCUAUUCGAUCCUCUUAACAAACAAAAGGGAUUUGAAGGAUCGAUGCCUAUUGAAUUUGAAAUGUGCCGUAAUAACCAAUAUUGGAUACGAUGACUAUGAAAAAAAAAUAAAGAACACACAAAUUUUACGUGGAAACCCUUUCGGGAAAAAAACCACUGGUAGAGGAGAAGAAAACUCACUAUGUAAAAUUCGAAUUAAUUACAAGAGGAAUAGACUAUGUCUAUUUAUAGGCUUGUAAAGCCAUAUUCUAGUAAGACUGAAACACCUUAUUCUAAUCAAUAUAAAAUAGAUGGAGUUUAAUAAGGUUUAAAAAACCUUAUUCUAAAAUAAAAUAAAAGAAGUGUAAUUCUAUAUGGAUUUUACUUUUAUUUUAGUUUACCACUAUAUUUUAUUUAAAUAAAGAUUCGGGUCAUUUAAUUCUAACAAUCUCCACCUUGACACGAAUUCUUAAUGAACAAAUUCUUAACGAACAAGUUCUCCACCUCUUCCAUAAAACCCCUUAAGGAUUUAACUUCAACAAUGAACACCAACCAAGUCUAAACAAUGCUCAAACCUGGUUAUAGGAAGUGACUUAGUCAUCAUAUCAGUAGGAUUUUCAUGAAUACUAAUUUUGCUCACAACAAUAUCACCAUGAGCAAUAAUAUCACGAAUAAAAUGAUACCGAACAUCAAUGUGUUUUGUUCUCUCAUGAAACAUUUGAUCUUUUGUAAGGAAGAUUGCACUCUGACUGUUAUAAAAUAUUGUACUGAUUUGAAGGUCUUCAUUGAGUUCAUUAAAGAGUCCCUUCAACUAAACAGCUUCUUUACAAGCCUCAGCCAUCGCCAUGUACUCAGCUUCACUGGUAGACAAAGAGACUGUAGUUUGCAAAGUGGCUUUCCAACUAAUUACACAACCUCCGGUUGUAAAGACAUAACCUGUGAGAGAUCUUUUUCUAUCAAUGUCUCCAGUAAAUCAGCAUCAACAUACCCAAUGACUCCAUCUCUAGUUCUUCCAAACUAUAAGCAAACAUCAAUAGUACCUUGUAAGUAUCUUAAAAUCCACUGAACUAUUUUCCAGUGUUUUUUGCAGGGAUUCGCCAUGUAUCUGCUAACUGCAUUGACUACAUAUGAUAAAUUUAGACUUGAACAAACCAUAGCAUACAUGAGAGAUCCCACUGCACUGAAGUAUGGAACAUGUGACAUGUACUCAAUCUCAUCAUCUGAUUGUGGAGACAAAGCCGAUGAAAGUUUGAGAUGGGCUGCUAAAAGAGUACUAACAAGCUUAGCACUCUGCAUAUUGAACCUACAAAGAACUUUCUCAAUGUACCCCUUCUGACUUAGGUACAAUUUACUUGUUUUUCUAUCUCUAAGAAUCUCCAUUCCAAGUAUCUUCUUUGUUGGUCCUAAAUCUUUCAUCUCAAAUUUUUCACUUAGUUGGGCUUUGACCUUUCUUAUCUCUCCUUUAUCUUUUGCUGCUAUCAACAUGUCAUCAACAUAAAGAAGUAGAUACCCGAAAGAACCAUCACUGUUUUUCUUAAAGUAAACACAACUGUCAAAACUACUUCUUUUGAAAUUAUGAGAAGUCACAAAGGAGUCAAACCUCUUGUACCACUAUCUUGGUGACUGUUUCAAACCGUAAAGGGACUCUUUCAGCAAGCAAACAAAGUCCUCUUUUUCUGAGAUUGUAAAACCCUCUGGUUAUUGCAUGUAAAUGUCCUCCUCAAGUUCUCCAUGCAAAAAUGCAGUUUUUACAUCUAACUGCUCAAGCUCCAAAUCAUGUACGACCACAAUACCAAGCAAAAAUCGAAUCGAACUAUGCUUCACAACUGGGAAGAACACAUCUAUAAAGUCCACUCCUGGAAUUUGACUGUAACCCUUUGCAACAAGCCUUACUUUAUAUUUAGGUUCUUCAACUCCUGGAGUCCCUUCUUUCUUUUUAAACACCCAUUUACAACGAACAACCUUUUUACUUUUAGGAAGUUUCACAAGUUCCCAUGUUCUGUUUUUGUGUAGUGAUUACAUCUCUUCUUGCAUAGCAAACAUCCACUUUUCUGAGUCUUCAUAGCUAACUGUCUCAGAAUAAUUAGAUGGCUCUCGGUUUGCAUCUAUAUCUUCAGUCACAUUUAAAGCAUAAACAACUCGAUCAGCCUCGGCAUACUUCUUUGGAGGUUUAAUUUCUCUUCUAGUUCUGUUUUUGGUAAUAGAGUAUUGUGGUGAAGAAGCAACUCUAUUCUCAAUUUUUGUACUAGCUUGAGGAGUCGACUCUGCAUUAAUCUGAUGCUCCACCUGCUUUUGAUUUUCUUUAUUGGAAGAGCCUUUAAGAGAUAAGUUAGGUAGUGUAGCAUUUUCAUCAAAAACGACAUCUAUGCUAAUCACAACUUUUCUAUUUUCAGGACACCAUAACUUAUACCCUUUUACACCAGCUUUAUAACCAAGAAAAACACAUUUAAUAGAUCUCGGUUCUAAUUUUCCAUUAUCAACGUGAGCAUACGCAGGACACCCAAAGAUCUUUAAGUCAGAGUAAUUAGCCGGAUUACCAGACCAUACCUCUUGUGGAGUAUUUUUCUCAAUGGCAACGGAUAGGGAUCGGUUGAUCAAAAAACAUACAGUAGAGGCUGCUUCUGCCCAAAAUGACUUCUGUAAGUUGGCAUUUGACAACAUACAUCGAACCUUCUCCAUGAUCAUUCUGUUCAUUCGUUCUGCAAUACCGUUUUGCUGUGGAGUAUGACGAACUGUCAAGUGUCUCACAUCCUUUCUGACUUGCACAGUCUAUUAAACUUAUCAGAAUAGAACUCUAGGCCAUUGUCUGUGCGGAGGUAUUUUAUUUGUUUUCCCGUCUGUUUUUCAAUCAUAAUUUUCCAAGACUUAAAUGUGAAAAACACAUUGCUUUUUUGCUUCAAGAAGAACGCCCAAACUUUUCUGGAAAAAUCAUCAAUAAAGGUUAAGAUAUAAUUAGCUCCACCUCUCGAAGGCACUCUGGAUGUCCUCCACAUAUCAGAAUGAAUAUACUCCAACGUUCCCUUCGUGUUAUGGAUUCCUCUGGUGAAUCAAACUCUCUUUUUCUUCCCAAAAACACAGUGUUCACAGAAAUUCAGUUUGCAAAUUCCUUGUCCAUCAAGAAGUCCUCUUUUACUCAAUUCUUCCAUGCCAUUAUCACUCAUAUGCCCUAGACGCAUAUGCCAAAUUUUAGUAAUAUCAUCAUCAAAUAAGAAAGAGGAAGCGACAGCUACAUCACCAGUAAUAGUAGAACCCUGCAAAACAUAUAACUUGGUAGUUUUUCUCUGCCUUUUCAUUACAACAAGGGAACCUUUGGAAAUCUUUAAAACUCUACUUUCAGUUGUGUAUCUGUACCCUUUUGAAUCAAGAGUACUCAACUAAAGUAAAUUUCUCUUCAAUUCUGGAACAUGUCGUACGUUACUAAGUGUUCUGACAACUCCAUCAAACAUCUUAACUUUAAUUGUUCCGACACCUACGAUUUUACAUGAAGAAUUAUUUCUCAUCAAAACAACACCUUUAGACAUUGUUUCGUAAGUUGUAAACCAGUCCUGAUUAGGACUCAUGUGAAAGGUGCAGCCUGAAUAAAGUAUCCACUCCUCGUUUACUUUAGAAUUGUUGACAGAAGCCUGCAAAAUAUAUAACUUGGUAGUUUUUCUCUACUGUAACAGCCAAAUUUUUCAGUGGUAUCAGAAAACAGUGAUUCGAGAUUACAAAAUCCAAUGAGUAAGUUUAGAAAUUUUAAUAAAUAAUAAUUAUGGGCCAAGCGCGAAUUUAAAAGAAUUUUUGAAUUAGUGAAUUUUGCGAUUUUAAAAAAUUAAUCAGGUAAAUUGGGUUGAAAACGAGGUAUCGAGACCUAAAAUUCAUAAACCGAGCCAUAAAUAUUUUUAGAAAUAUUUAUGGAGUGUUAGUAAGUCAGUAUUAAAGUUUCGUCAAGAAAUUUUAAGGUUUUGGUAGUCAAAAAGGACUAAAUUGAAUUAAGUGCAAAAUUACGAAAUGUGAUUAAAUAGCUCUAGUAAUAAUUAAAGGAGGACUAAAUAGGCAAUUAAACACCGAUUAUUGGGCUGACGACAUGUGUGUGCAGGAAAAAUAAAAAUCAAGUGUGAACAAGGGGCAAAAUUGGAAAUUUUGCAAAUUAAGCAUAUAAAACAAGACAAAAUUGAAAAAUCUAGAGAUAUCAUCAUUCUUCUUCAGCAAAAACGCCAUGGGAGGUCUGAAAGUUGCUGUUUUUCAUAGUUUGACAUAUGUGAGUUCAAUUUUUGCCCUUUUCUUUGAGAUUUUUAUGUUUUUGUGACUUUUACAAUUAGGUCCAAGUGUUUAAUUCAUUAGUUUUUGAUUUUAUGGACAAAAUUGAAAGCUACCAUUGAUAAGUGUUGGCUGUUUAUGAUUAACUAAAAUAGAUUUGAAGCUUUUACUUUGUUGUUUGAUGAUUUUAUCAACUAAUUUCAAUAGAAAUUGAUUUUAGAACCUAAUUGUGAAAAAGUUGUGAAUUAAGGUUUAGUGUUGAAAUUCUGAUUUUUAAAGGUUGUGUAAUAGUUUAGAAUGAUGGAAUAAAAUGUUAAUUGAGAAAAAUUAGCUUAAGUGAUGGGCUAAUUAAGCAAGGACUGAAUUGUAUGACCAGUGAAAUUUAGAGGAAAAAUGGUAAUAAACAUCUUGAACUAAAACAGUUUUGAACAGCAGCAGUAGGUUAACUUUGAAAAAUCACCAUAAAUUUUAUAAAUUGAAUCAAAGGGUGAAAAAAAUAUUUAAUUAAAGCUUAUUGAGUCUAGUUUCUUAUAGAAGAAAUGGUGUAAGCAAUUGAAUUGUAAGUUAUAAGAUAUAAUAUAUUUUGUGAGACAAGGUCAGAAUGAAUUCGGGUUCCCCUGUUCUGACUUUGGAAAAUCACAAAAAUUUGGAGAAAAAUAAUUAGAGGCUAAAAAUUAUAUUUUUAAAAUCCUUAAUGAGUCUAUUUUCAAGAUAAACCAACAAGAACAUUAUCCGAGUUAUGUACUGUGAGAUAAUUAAUUUUAAGUGAAGAGAGGUUAGAACUGUCGGAUAGUGAAACAGGGGAAAAUUUAAUGAAUAAACUGUACUAAUUGGCUAAACCAAAAAUUCUGAAAAUUUUAUGGUGGAAAGAUAUGUGAGUCAAGUUUUAGGUAAAAUUUACGGAUCUUAAUUUGGAUCUCUGUAGCUCAAAUUAAAAAUAAUUUAGUGACUAAGACACGAAUGGACAGCUUUAAAUAAAUUUAUAAGUAAAUAGUGAGAUCAUAGAUAAUGUUACUUAUAAGAAUGCUAUAUAUAUUUAGGAUGUGGAAUGGAGAGGAGGAGGAGGAAAAUAAAUAUAUGAAUUUUCAGUUAGCAAGGGUUUUGUUGGAUUUUUCACACAGGAAAAAAAAACAUAACUAAGUUAUCCGGAUAAAAUAUGAAGCUCUUGUUAAAGCUAGAGCAACAAAGUAAUUAUUCCGGAUGAAAUAUGAAGCUCUUGUUGAAGUUAGAGCAACAAGGUAAUAAUUCCAGAUGAAGUAUGAAGUAAGUUUGAGAUUCAAAGGCUUAGGAGUUGUAACCAAACGAACAGAAGCAAAUGGGAUGAAAAAUUUAGAGAAGUAUUUCAUAUUUCAUCCGGGUAACAUACAUAUUGUUGUUUGUUGCCACCCUUAAUAGGUUUACAUUUAAAAUGGAUAAUUUGUAUGUUUUAGACUCAGGGACUAAAUUGAAUAAAAGGAAAAAACUAUAGGGGCAAUUUUGUAAAAAUGUCAAAAAUGACCAAAAUGAAGGAAAUGAAUUGUUUUAUUAUUUAAAUUAUAAAAUUGAAUGAAACUAUUAAUUUAGAUCAAGAUCGGGUGAAAACAUGUUUUGGGGAUUAAAUUAAAAAGUGUUGAAAUUGUGGAAAAUUUUGUUAUUUUAUAGAAUUUAUGGGUUUUUAUCAAUAUAUAUAAGAAUAAUUAGGUUUGAAACAAGGAUUUAAUUACAAGAACUUUAUUUUUCUUUGUCUAAGGAUGAAAUCGUCAUUAAUCAAAAGUUUAGGGGUAAAAUGAUAAUUUUGCCUAGAGAUUAAUUGAAUGUAUUAGAAUAUGAAAUAAAUAAAAAUGAUGAUCAAAUUUAUUUAUAAAGAUCCGGUGGCUCAAAUAUGAGACUUGAACGUGAAAAAGAAAAAGUUUUCGGAUUAGUAAAACUAUAAAUACGAAUAAGCAAUGAAGUAAGUUCGUGCAACUUGAAUUGAGUUAAUGAAUGUUUAAAUUAUACAUUUAUGUGACAUGAAUGUGAAUUGAAUGUUUAAAUGUAUGUUUUGGGCUUUAAGGGCCCAAUAGAGGGACAUUAUGAUUAUUUUCAGAAUAUGAAUAAUAAAUUAUUCAGAAUUAUCUGAAAAUGCUCAGUAAACUCUGGUAAUGCCUCAUACCCUAUUCCGGCAACGGAUACGGGUAGAAGGUGUUACAUCUGCCCUUUCAUCACAACAAGGGAACCUUUGGAAAUCUUUAAAACUCCACAUUCAGCUGUGUAUCUGUACCCUUUUGAAUCAAGAGUAGUCAACUAAAUUAAAUUUCUGUUCAAUUCUGGAACAUGUCGUACGUCACUAAGUGUUCUGACAACUCCAUCAAACAUCUUAACUUUAAUUGUUCCAACACCUGCGAUUUUACAUGAAGCAUUAUUUCUUAUCAAAACAACACCUUCAGACACUAUUUUGUAAGUUGUAAACUAAUCCCGAUUGGGACUAAUGUGGAAGGUGCAACCUGAAUCAAGUAUCCACUCCUCGUUCACUUUAGAAUUGUUGACAGAAGCGACUAGAAGUUCACCAUUGCUGUAGUCUUCUACAACAUCAACUUCACCAGAAUUUUCUGGUUGUUUUCUCUUUUGAUUCGUAGCCUCUCUUUUAAUCUUGUUCUGUAGCUUAUAGCACUCAGAUUUAAUGUGCUCUUUCUUCUUGCAGAAGUUACAAGUUUUACCUCUGUUUGAAGACUUCGAUCUACCCUUAGAUUUACCGCGAGGAUUUUGUUCCUGUGUCCUUCCAUGAUCAUUAUCAGCAUUCCAAUCUUGUCUCCCACGAACAAUGAGACCUUCUCCCUGAGAGUCGGGUUUAACCACAAGAUGCUUCAUAUUAUCAUACGAGGUCAAAGAAUCAUAAACCUCAUUAACUGUGAGAGACUCGCGGCUAUAUAAAAUAGUGUCUCUAAAGGUUGAGUAAGACGAGGGCAACGAACAAAGUAGAAUCAACCCUAGAUCUUCCUUAUCAUACUGAACCUCCAUGGCCACCAAGUUUGAGAGAAUUUCUUUAAACACUGUUAAGUAUUCGUGUACAGAUGCACCUUCCUCCAAAUGAUGAGCAUAAAGAAGCUGCUCCAUAUGCAACUUGCUUGUUAGAGUUUUCGACAUACAUAUUUGUUCCAGCCUCUUCCAUAAUGCAAUGGCAGUCUUCUCAUUCAUCACAUCCUGUAAAAUUUCAUUGGACAAAUGCAGAUGUAAUUGUGUUAACGUCUUUCGAUCCUUACGCUUCUUCUCUUCAUCUGUUAAUAUCGAAGGCAUCUUAUCUAUCCCUAGCAGGGCAUCCUCCAGAUCUAUCUACGCAAGAACUACUUGCAUCUUAAUCUGCCACAACGCAAAUCUGGUGUUGCGAUCCAACAACGGAAUUUCAUACUUCAAAGACGCCAUUACCGUGAUCGAGAUGAACUACCUGGAAGCUACCAAUUUGUGAAAAUAAAAUAAAAUAAAAACACAUAGAUUUUACGUGGAAACCCUUUCAGGAAAAAAACCUCGAGCAGAGGAGAAGAAAAUUCACUAUGUCAAAUUCGAAUUAAUUACAAUAGGAAUAUACUAUGUCUAUUUAUGACUUUCGUUACGUCUCUAAGCGCUACAAAAAAUGGAGAGAAACUAACAUAUUUAUGUCUAUUUGUGACAUUUUAAAAAUGUCACCAAAAUUUUCAAACAAAACCUUUUGUUUUUCUUAUCAAAGAUAACUAUAGUGACAAAGGUGUCAUGAAAACUGUUACUUUCUGCGACACUUAUAUUUUGAAUAAAAGGGAAUGAAAAGAAAAGAAAAUGUCAUAGAAAAUAUUCAGAACAUAAAUAUCAAAAGCCCCCAAAAGUCAUAAUGUAAAUAAAAUAAUGAAAUGAGCACAAAUACAUAAAGUCCACCUUACAAAAAUUAAAAUCGAAGUACUGAGGUUCAAAUACUAAAACAUAAGGCCAAAAUAAAAAUGAAACUUUUAGUUGAAAUUAAGAUAAAAUCAUACAUAUGAUAUUGAAGAUUGAAGGGUAAAAUCAUGAAAACUAUCAACCAGUUUGCAAUCUAGAGUCGCGUCAGUAACUCAAACAUUAGAUUGAUGAGAUGAGUGAUCAUCAACGUGUUGUGAUGGUAGAAGGGUAAUUGUUCCUGAUGGCAUUUGUGUAGUAACCUUGGCUUGGAGAUCACAAAACUUUUGCCACAAAAUUGGUGGAGGGGGAGUCUCAUUUGUGUAAUCAACUUCUAAAAUCAAUUUUUAUUAGUAUUUAUUAUGACUAAGAUAUCUUUUAUGUCCGUUUUAUGAUUCAUGAAAAUUAAUCUUUUUGAGAACAAAAUUUUCAUUAACAAUCAUAAUUAUAGUACAAACACAAAUAAAUAUAUGAGUAACCAUAACAUAUAAUUAAACUAAUACAAAGUAUAAUGGACGGAAAAUCAGAAAGAAUUGAGUAAUAUCCAUCCAUGGGCAUACACACAUGUUGGGACUAGAGAUCCACAUAUCGUGAACAUGAACACUUAACAAUCUAAGAUAUUUGCCUCAAUCAACAACACAAAGGCAUUAUUGGCCAUAUAUAUAUUGAUUUAACUAAUUCAUAAAUGUCUUGUUUAAGCAGGGGUGAAGUUAGAAUUUUUUAAGGGGUCUUAGGUUAAAUUAUACAUUUUUAUAAGAGUUAAAAUAUGAUUUCACAUUUGUAUUGGUUUAUUUCUUUACGGUUUUUGAAAGAACUAAAUCAAAAUUUAACAUUUUUUAGGGAUCACACUAUAAUUUUACCAUAUAUUAUGAUUUUAUGAAUUUGGGGGGUCUAAUUUGGAGGUCUAAAGCAUAAAUUCUCUUUUUUGGGGGGGGGGGGGUAUAACCUACGUUCCCUGUCUCCCUUGGUUCUAAAAUACAUAUUGGACCACCGAUUAAGUCUUAAUUCAGUUGGCAUCAAUGCUCUUACAACAAUUAAGAAUAUGUAGUUUUAAGUGAAUUUUAAGUGUCUUUUUCCUCCAAUUUAAAGGUGGAAAGGAUUAUGGAUUGAAAUAGUUUUUAUAUUAAAAAAAUUACAUAGGACCAAGGUGUUUUUGUUUUAAUUGAACUGGUUACCCCAGCCAGGUCAGAUUGGGACAUAGUUUUCUUUUUAAUAUAAAUAGACAUAUACCCAAUCCACCAAGAGUAUACCAACUAGUAGAUUUCUCUCAAUUUCUUCACAUUUCUUGCUUUUAUACAUAAACAUCCCAUCUCCAUCACAUUCUCAAGCCUAUUCAAUGGAGUUUUUAAUGAAAAUAUGUCUCCUUUUCCUUUGUGGCCUCAUUUCUCACUUUGUUAACAUGUUUUUCCAGAAGAGAAAUCAGCAAUGCUAUAUGUUGGGUUAUGAAUGUUUCAAGGCUGCCGAUGACAGGAAGCUCGACACUGAUGCGUGCGUGAAAGUUGUGUUGAGGAACAAGAAUCUUGGUCUGGACCAAUACAGGUUUCUUUUAAAAACCAUUGUUAGUUCUGGUCUUGGUGAAGAAACUUAUGGUCCAAGGAAUGUUAUUGAUGGUAGAGAAGAGUUUCCUUCGGAAAACGAUGCACAUGCCGAGAUGGAUGAGAUCAUGUUCAGCACUCUAGACACUCUGUUCGAGAAAACAAGAGUUUCCCCGACGGAAAUCGACAUACUCGUCGUCGAUGUCUCGUUGUUUUCACCAGCACCGUCGUUAACUUCCCGGAUUAUAAACAGGUACAAGAUGAGGGACAACAUUAAGUCCUUCAGUCUCUCGGGAAUGGGAUGUAGUGCAAGCAUGAUUGCAAUCGAUAUGGUGCAGCAGUUGUUCAAGACAUACAAGAACCAGUUCGCCAUCGUUGUGAGCACCGAAUCAAUCGCUAGGCAUUGGUACUGCGGCAAAGAGAAGUCAAUGAUGUUAUCGAAUUGCCUGUUCCGUAACGGUGGGUGUUCAAUCCUCUUAACAAACAAAAGGAACUUGAGAGAUCGAUGCUUGUUGAAGUUAAAGUGUGCCGUAAGAACCAAUAUCGGAUACGAUAACGAAGCAUACGGAUGUUGCAUACAGGUUGAAGAUCCACAAGGUUACCAAGGUUUCCUCCUUACAAAAAACUUAACAAAAGCUGCUGCUAAAGCUUUUACAGGGAAUCUCAAGCUCCUAUUGCCCAAAAUAUUACCAGUUUGGGAACUGCUUCGAUAUGCAAUAUCAACUCUCCGGAAAAAAUCAACCAAAGGCCAAAAUUUAAGUUCCAAUUUAAAUCUCAAGUCUGGGGUUGACCAUUUUUGUCUCCAUCCCGGUGGAAGGGCAGUGAUUGAUGGGCUUGGGAAGAGUUUGGGACUUAGUGAAUAUGACUUAGAGCCAACUAGAAUGGCACUAUACAGAUUUGGAAACACAUCAGCAGGUGGUUUAUGGUAUGUUUUGAGUUACAUGGAAGCUAAGAAGAGGUUGAAGAAAGGUGAUAAGAUUCUUAUGGUGAGCCUUGGAGCUGGGUUCAUGUGCAACAACUGUGUGUGGGAAGUAAUGAAGGAUGGUUUGGAGGAUACUAGGGUUUGGGAAGAUUGCAUUGAUGAGUACCCUAGAAGAGACGUAGUCAAUCCCUUCACUGAGAAGUAUAGUUGGAUCAAGGAUGAGUGCAUGAACUUUGUCAGGAUUAACGGCAGAAUGUUUUAUUAACAAUUUACUUUUUGAAUUAUACCCUUUCUUUUUAAUUUAUUUUGUUUAAAAUUAUCUCAAAAAGUGCUAAAGUGGGUGAUGUCACUGAAUCAGAAAAAUGUUUUGAAGUGUGAAAAUUAUGGGAGCGAUUUGUGGGUUGUGGCCCUAGUAAACCAUGUGAGACCAUAGAAGCUAGUGAGUUGCAAUUGUUUAACUCUUUCUUUCAAUUUCUAACUCUUUUACUCGUUUUUUUUAGAAAAAUUAUUUGAUAUAUCCAUAAAAAUUGGCAUUAUAUCCCAUUUAAGGAAUAAUAAAAAUGUAAAAAAAUAUAUAAAAAAAUAUAUAAAAAGUAAGUAAAAAAAACAUGUGCAGGUAAAAUAUUUUAUUGAAAAUGUAUUAAAUACUAACAUUUUUGGUUACUAAAUAUUUUUUAUCGGUGAAAGUAUUUAUUAACUCCUUCUAUUAUAACCAUUAGAUUAAAUUAAUCUCUCUAUUAUUAAAUAGAUCAAUCUAAUUCUUGUACUAUUGAAAAGAAUCAAAUAAGUUUAAAUUAUAAUAGAGUUAACAUUUGUCGUUUAAUAAAUGACAUCAAAAUUAUUUUUUCUUUUGUAGUUUAACUACAAACAAAAGUUUCAUUUGCAGUAGAGUUGAGCAAGAACCGACCCGAAUUGAGAUAUUUGGACCAUUCAUAAAAUAUAAGUUAAAAAAUUAUGAUUGAAUGAACCAAACCAAAUUCUAUUUAAUUUAUAAUUAAAUUAAUUUUUUAAGAUGUAAAAAAUAUUUUAUAUUUAAAAUAGUGAGAAUAAUUUAAAAUUUCUAUAUAGAAAAUAUUUUUUUAAAAUAUUAUAUAAAAGUUAUUAAAUUUUUUUAGUUUAAGAGUUUUUGAUAUUUCUAUUCGCUUAAAAAAUUAUUAUUUUUUAGAAAUACUCGUAAAUUAUUUUUUAAAAUUUUAUCAAUUAAUGUUAAAAAUUACAAAACAAAACUCAUUUUGUCAAAAAAUGUCAAAAAACCUAAAACUCAAAAAACUCAAAAAAAAAAAACUAAUUUGCGGAACCAUUAAAAAAAAUCAAAAUAUUAACUAUAUUAAAAAGUAAUAUAUAUAUAUUAAACUACAAAAAGUUAACUCCGUUAAAAUUUGACUUUAUUUUUUUUAAUAGUAUAAUGACUAAAUUAACCCAUUUUAAUAGUAGAAGAAUUUAUUUGAUCAGAUCUCUAAUAUAUUUUAAAAAGCCCUUAAACUAUUUUUGCACUUAAAUAAGCUCCUAUCCUAAGAUUUUUACCCAUAAAAGUCAUUGAUUUUAAUAUUAAAGUAAAAUUAUUUUGAAUUUUUAAACUAAUCUAAUAUGAUGUGAAUAAUUUAUUAAAUAAAAAUAAAAUAAUAAUUUUGAAAGUAAAACAAAAUGUUAUUUUAAGUUUUUCUUGAAAAUGCUUAUAUACAUAACACUUAAUCACUCUUUUGAAAAUUUUGGAUAACUCUUUUAAAUUUUAUGUUGAUGUUAUAAUUGUAUAGGAUUUCUAUUAUAUCAACAGAAAAAUUAAGAUAAUAGCCUAAAAUUCAAAAUAAUUCAUUCCUAUGAACUUUUUUUUUUUGAAUAAUUUCAUUAUAGAUUCUAAUCAUAUUUUCUCUUUUUGAUACAAUGCCUAGAAUUACCCAUAACCCCUCCCCAACCCUUAAGUAGGAGAAUAAUACGCUUCAGCAUCCUCGAACCCACGUUUUCUUAUAUUAACAAUAAUGUACAUGCUAAUCGAAUUAAAAUUCAAUCGACAAAAUCAUAGAAUAGGAAAUUACUUAACUAUAAAAAUAAUUGAAGAGCUUGUUUAAACAAAGUGAGAUAGUUUAAUGGGUUUUUUAAUAUAUUACCCUAAAUACAUUCAUAUAUUUUUUUAUCUAUAACAUUUAAAAGAUAAUAUUCGAAUCUAGAACAAAACAAUAGCAUUCAACUAAAAAAUUUAUGAAUCCCAUGUGUUCAUUUACCUGUAUUCUAUGCUUUAUCAGCACAUCUCAGUCUGGCUUGAAGCUAUGGCUAGUUUCUAUUUUUGGUACAUUAAUUAUGGCUGCUGUCUAACUAUUUAACAAUAAAUAACAAUAACCCAGGGACAAUAUAUCCAUUUAAAAUUUUUUAGCAUUCAUGAGUUUAUUAACCAUGCUAUCAUGCACAUUCAUAAUAAUCAAGAAAACAGUAGUACUAAAUUUUCUGCCUCCACACCAUUUAAAUUAUGGUUUCUAAUUGAUCUCAUCUAUUAAAUUAUGCACAAAGUUGUCCCAAACAUAAUUACAAAUUUCUGAAUGGAGGAUGGUUGAUUUGGAGGCAGCUAAGCAAUAGUAAACAUUAUGAUUUAUGGGAUAUGAUGGGGAUAUGUUAUUAAGGUUUUUAAUUGAAUUAAAUUUAUCAAUUUCUUUGUUUAGAACUUAUCAGUUUCAAUACAACUUCUUACUUUUUAGGUUAUUGAAUUUUAAUUAGAUUAUAGUUUUAAUUAUUUUAUGAUGUGUUACUAUUGUGUCGGAUUUAUAUAUUUGUACAAUUUAUAAUUGUAACUUUAUUUAAGAAAAAUAUGUAUUCAUGUCGAUUUGAUUUAGUGGUUCAAUUUAGAGAUAAAUUGUGUUAUUUCUUUGUUUUUAAAGGAAUAGAAGUUUAUACAAAAUUUUACGUGUUAUUAAUAUACUUUGUAUAGACUUUGACUUUUAUUAUAUUUAUAUUGUAUUUGUAUUAUUUUUAUGUACGUAAAUUGACAAGUUUUUAAUGCCUUAAAAUAUUAGUAGUGUCAGAGGUAAAGUUAAUUAGAAAUUUAUUUUAAGGGAGUUGAAAUUUAAUUGUAAUUUUUACUAAUUUAAUUCUUUAUAAUUUUUUAAAAAAAAUUAAAUUAAAAUUUUAUCAUUUUUAGGGAGAUAAAGUGUAAUUUUAUAUUUAUUAAUUUAAAAUUUUUAAAAGGACUAAAUGAAUAAUUUUUUAUUUUAGGAGAGGCUGAAGUCUCUAUUAGUCUCGCUUAGAUAUGCUACUGAGUAGUAUUUUUGCUAUUAAAUUUAGUGAGCUUGAAAAGACAUGUUGAGCCUGUAAAGGCAAUGUCAAGUUUGAAAAGGUGAAUGUGCUUGAUAAGGCUAGAAUGUGCUUGAUAAUUUACUGGCGAGGUAUACAUGGCACGACCUUUAUUCUUGUGCGGCUCAAAAAAAUAUAAGCAAAUUUUUAUAAUAAUAUAUAUUUUACUUCUCAUCAGAGUGUGCCUAAAAAGAAUAGAAUAUGCUCACUCAUUUACCGACAAGGUAUACAUGACAUGACAUUUAUCUCUGUAUGACUCGAAAAAAUAUUAGUAGUUUUUUUAUAAUAAUAUAUAUUUUACCUCUCAUCGAAGUGUGAUUGAAAAUGUUAAAAUGUGCUCACUCAUUUAUCAGUGAAGUAUACAUGAUAUGACAUUUAUCCUUGCACGAAUUAAAAACAUAUCAAUAAAUUUUUUAAUAAUAGAUAUUUUACUUGUCGGCGGAAUGUAUCUGAAAAGUUAUAAUAUGCUUACUCAUUUAUUGAUAAGGUAUACAUGACAUGACAUUUAUCUCUGGGUGGCUUGGGAAAAUAUCAAUAAUUUUACCUUUCGUCAAAGUGUCUUCAAAGUGUCUAAUAUUUGAAUUCAAACUAAUGAGUUAUGGAACCAAAUAAAAAAUUGUCAGUUGACAAGCUCUGUUUUAAGAGGCCAUGACUAGAAAUCUUGAAUGCUUGCGAGAAAAAAAUAUAUAUAUAUACAUAUAGCUCAUACAAGGUAAAUACACAACUGCUCGACGAGAGUGUACACAUACACCUCUCGGGGGUUUACAAACCCAAAAGAGCCGAGGGGUUUAACUGCUCAGGACCCUACAGCACAUGGUAAUCACAUUAUUGCGCGAGUCCCACUGAGAACCCUUCUAUACACUUUAAUUCUUUCAUCAGGGGUUUCUUCUUCUUCUCUUCUUUACCUAAUGCUCCCAUUUUUUCUAUGGAAACUUCACUGUUAGUGUUCAUCAAGCUCCGACCACCACCGUCAGUUCUUAAAUGGGGUGAAUCAACCAACACCACCACAAUAUCUGCCUUGUUUGAUCUUUAAAUCAAAAAAGAGUUGGUUCCCAUUUUGCAUAGUGUCUUUUAUCCCUAAAAUAACAUGAUAAGAAAAGUUGGAAAUUUUACAUCUCAAGUUAAAUUCAUUUAUGUUAUAAAUUUGUGGUUUGCUGUUCUUUAACCCAGAUGAUAAUUACUUCGUUUCUAUAAUAUUGAAAAAAAUAAAUAUUGUCGAAACCAUUUUUUUGAAAAAUGGGGUCGACUUUGGUUUUGAAAAUGGAAACGAAAAUUGAGAGUCGCCCCCAAUUUUUUUUGUUUAGGUGUAAUCGGAUCACCUAGAAAUUUGGUCAUUUUAAUAGAACAUUUCGAUUUACUAAAAUAACAAUUUUGGUCUACGAAAUUUGAGAAAACUGGUUCGGGAGUCGGUUACGUACGAGGAAGGAUUAGCACCCUCGUAACGCCCAAAAUUGGUACCUAAUUGGUUAAUUAAUGUCUUAAUGUCGAAAUUUAAAAACUCGAAAAGAAUUUAGAAUACGAUCCAUCUUUUUAUUAAUGUUAAUUUUACAAAAAUGUUUGAAUAAAUCAAAGCAGAUGCUAAAGACUUUCUUGUCCCGAAGUAAUAAAAUGUCAAAUCCAGUACGUUAGGACACGACAUUUUAAACCCUCGAGAAUGAGCUUGUCUUUUGAUUUUCAAAACUCAUGUAUUUUAAUUUUAAAAGGAUAUUCGAUUAUUUGGUCAAACGAUAAAUCGAAACCCAACACAUUAGGGUACGAUUUCUCGAAUUUCCAAACACGAAAUAUUGUCUUUAUUAAAAACUCAUUUUCUAUAAUUUUGGUGGAAAUUAGUGAAAUGCUAAAAUGAUACAUAAAUAUAUGGUUUAUUUAAUUAUGUUAAAAAAUCAUUUAAAACUUUUAAAAAGGGUCAUUCGCGGCUAAUAAUAAUAGUACAACAAAUAUUUGAAGUGACAAUAAUAUCGCAUAAAAAAAACAAUGUAUAACAUUGGCAUUAACGAACCAUAAUGUCGUCAAACAUAAACAACAACAAAAAUGAUGAUGCAAAUGAUAAUAUGGGGAACAAGAAUAACAAAUAACAAUAACAAAUUCAAAAGAAAAAAAAAUAAAGACAAUAAAUAAAUAAACAAAUAAAUAAGGGUCUAAAUAAAAAUUUAAAAAAAAGCAAAUAAAUAAAAGAAAUAAAAUGUUAAAUAAAACACGUAAAAUGAUAAUGACAAUAAUAAUAAUCUAAAAUUUGAAGGUAUAUAUAAAGAUAUAAAAUAAAUAAAUAAAUAGUAAAAUGAUAAUAAUAGGAAACGAUGAAAAUAAAUAAAACUUAUUUAAAAGAGUAGAUAAAAAAUGAUAUUAAUAAUAUAAUAAAAAAUCUAAAGUUUAAAAAAAACUAUGUAAAAUUAUAUAAAUAAAUAAAAUGAUAAUAACAAGAAUAAAAUGUGUAUAAAAAAAUAAAAGUAAUAUUAAUAUAUAAAUAUAAAUAAAAGUAUAAUGAAUAGAAAUGUAAUAGAAACAUAAAUAAAUAAAUAAAAUUAGAGAAACAGCAAUAACGUUAAAAUAAUAAAAUAAACAUGAAUAUAAAUAUAAUACUAAUUGCAAUAAUAUAAUAAUGACAAUAGUAACAAAAAAAAACAACAACAAUAAUAAUAAUAAUAAUAAUAUCAAUAAUAAUGAAGAUAACAAAUAUGUAAAGAAUGUAAAAAUAAAAUGUAAGCAAUUUAAUUUUAAAUGUGUAUAAAAAUAAAGAAAUGAUAACAACAAGAUAAAUAGAUAAAUAAAUAGUAAUAAUAAUAAUAAUAAUAAUUACAAUGUGAAACAUGCGAAUGACAGAAUAAAUAAUAAUACAAAUUUAAAAUACAAAAUAAACGUAUAAAGAAAUAAAUAAAUGCAUGGAUAUAUGAAUAAACAAAUAAAACAAAACAUAAAAAUCUAUAAAGGUUGAAAUUAAAUGAAUAAAGGGUUAAAUCGAAAUUUGAAAUGAAAUUUAGAGCCUAGAUUAUAAUAAAAAUGACAAAUAAGGACCGAAUCGAAAAUAAAUGAGGUUAAAGGGGAUAAAUCGUGAAAAAUAAAAAAGGAGGGACUAACACUGAACGUGCGAACAAAGUGGAAGGGCCAAAGGGAAAAUAUCCCCGCCCUUCAAAACGCUGCACCUCAUGCAGGAUUUAAAUGAAAUAAAAGUGAAACCAUCUGGCCAAAUUAAAAAAAUAAAGAAAAUUAAAUUGUGGAGUAAUUAAAAGGCAGAAGGACCAAAAGGGUAAAUAGCUUCUUUUGCAGAAACACGUGGAUCCCAUGGUUAAGGGCCGGGUCGACCCGUUUUAUGCAAAAACGACACAGUUUUGGCACUUGAAACCAGGGCCCAAAACGACGUCGUAUGGUCCCCUUAUAAAUGCCAAAUUUUCAACAAAAAAAAAUUCAUUCCUUCAGCCUCUUUAAAGAAAAUGGACCCUCCCCUUUUUUUUCUCUGCUAGGGUUUCAAAAGAAACCCAUCAUCGCCGAACAACCUUGGCUCCACCGUGGACGGUGGUAGGAGCCAUGGCAAGAUCGGACUCGGGUAAGUCCCCAUUCCCUUCCUUUUUCAUUUUUUUUACUUGAAAAUAGAUUUGUAAUAAUAUAUAAAAAGAAAGAAUAGGGAAAGCGAAAAGAAAAAAAGAAGAUAAAAUCAAGAUCAACAUCUUUUUUUAUUUUGCUUUUGAUUUCUGAAAUAUCUGUGAUACAAUCUUUCUUUUUUUUUAGAAAAACCCCCACGUUACAAUCUAUUUUUUGUGGCUUUAUAGCCAAUCUAUUGUUCACUAUUUGCUACUGUUUCUAUCAUUUCUUGCUGCUAUCUUUUGCUUUUGUGUCCUCUUUUCUCACUAUUUGCAAGUCUUCGGAGGUGCAGGUUAUGGGACAGGGCCAGGGAGUGGUUGAUCCUCGAGCGUUGAAUGCGCUGACCAGGCACGUGGGGAGCGGCGUACACUGCUGCUAGGUUUUUUUUUGUUUCUGCUAUUUUUUUAGGGUUAUGGGCUUGUAAAAUUUUGGGCUAGGGUAGUGUUUGGUUUGAUUUAGGCUUGUUUUUAUUAAGGCCAGGUCAAAUUUGGGCAUUUACAGCUGCCCCUCUUUGCUCGUUGUCGUGUAACGAGAAUGAAGCAAAGACUUUAAAAAGGAUCAAAUUUGCCGGGUCUUGUAGAAUCUUGAUCUAUUUGGUGCUUCUCUUCUUCAAGUAGCUUUGUUCUAACCCACUGCAACUUCAGUGAGAUAAGAUUUGCGACAUGGUAAAUUUGAUCCAUCCUACUGCAACUUCAGAGGUAUGGACUUGUAACUCGUUGUUUUUACCUGUUCCAUUGCAACUUCAGGGAAAUAAGGUUUGAGGCUUUAAUCUGUUCUUCUGCAAUUAUAGCUUGAUCUGCUCCAUUGCAACUUCAAGGAGAUAAGAUCUUCUAUCUUUAGUCUGUUUCAUUGCGACUUCAGGGAGAUAAGACUUGUAACUUCAACUUGCCCCGCUGCAACUUCAGGGGGUAAGGUUUGUUUUGAUCUGCUCUACUGCAACUUCAGAGAGAUAAGAUAUAUUUAUUUAUAGCUUCAAUCUGUUCCACUGCAACUUCAGGGAAAUAAGAUUCUCUAUCUUCAGUCUGCUCCACUACAACUUCAGGGAGAUAAGACUUGUGACUUUAACCUGCUUCACUGUAACUUCAGGGAGAUAAGGUUUGUAGUUUUGAUCGCUUCAAUGCCAUUUCAGAGAGAAGAGAUUUGUAGCUUCGAUCUACUCCGCUGAAACUUCAAGGAGAUACAAAUUGUGGCUUUGAGCCGCUCUAGUGCCAUUUCAGGGAAAAGAGAUUUGUAGCUUCGAUCUACUCCGCUGAAACUUCAAGGAGAUCUGCUGUACUUUGAGCCGCUCCAAUGCCAUUUCAGGGAGAAGAGAUUUGUAGCCUCGAUCUACUCCGCUGAAACUUCAAGGAGAUACGGACUGUGGCUUCGAGCCACUCCAAUGCCAUUUCAGGGAGAAGAGAUUUGUAGCAUCGAUCUGUUCCACUACUGCUUAGGGAGAUAAGAUCUGUAAUUCAGCCUGUUACCCUACUGCUUAGGGGGUUAAGUCCCAUCGUCUUCGAUCUGCUCCACUACUGCUUAGGGAGACAAGAUCUAUAAUCUUCAGCUUGUUACCCUAUUACUUAGGGGGUUAAGGCCCAUCGUCUUCGAUCUGCUCCACUACUUCUUAGGGAAACAAGAUUUGUAAUUUAGCCUGUUACCCUACUGCUUAGGGGGUUAAGGCUCACUGUCUUCAAUCUGCUCCACUAUUGCUUAGGGUGACAAGAUCUGUAAUUUAGCCUGUUACCCUACUGCUUAGGGGGUUAAGGCUAACCUUCUUCGAUCUGCUCCACUACUGCUUAGGGAAACAAGAUCUGUAAUUUAGCCUGUUACCCUACUGCUUAGGGGGUUAAGGCUCACUGUCUUCGAUCUGCUCCACUACUUCUUAGGGUGACAAGAUCUGUAAUUCAGCCUAUUACCCUACUGCUUAGGGGGUUAAGGCUAAUCGUCUUCGAUCUGCUCUAUUACUACUUAGGGAGACAAGAUCUGUAAUUCGGCUUGUUACCCUACUGCUUAAGGGGUUAAGGCUCAUCGUGUUCGAUCUGGUCCGCUACUACUUAAGGAGACAAGAUUUGUAAUUCAGCCUGUUACCCUAUUGCUUAGAGGGUUAAGGCUAACCAUCUUCAAUCUGCUCUACUACUGCUUAGGGAGACAAGAUCUAUAAUUCGGCCUGUUACCCUACUGCUUAGGGGGUUAAGGCCCGUCACCUUCGAUCUGUUCCCCUACUACUUAGGGUGAUAAGAUUUGUAAAUUCAGCCUGUUACCCUACUGCUUAGGGGGUUAAGGCCCAUCACCUUCGAUCUGUUCCCCUACUGUUUAGGGUGAUAAGAUUUUACGAAUUCACCUAUGUUGCUACACCAUCCUCUAGGGAUAUGAUCUGUAGAAUCGAUUUCAGGUAUUUAUGCUUAUGCCAAAUAAUUAGGAUGCUAUGAUCGGAAUGAAUCAAAUGCUCCUAACUAGAUGUGAUGCUUGUGUAAAAUAAUUAGGAUGCUAUAAUCGAAAUGAAUCAAAUGCUCUUAACUAGAUAUGUUAUGAAUGAUAUAUGAAUGCAGAAAUGAAAAUGAUCCUUUUUAAAAGGCUUAAGGUAUCAUUGCUCAUUGUUCAUCAGGACAUUAUCACUGACGUAUCACGCUGCCAUUUUGCUCGGCUGGUAUUCAAAAAAAGUCAAAGAAACAAUCACAUUCUGCUCAGCAAGCUUGCCCCGCUGAAAUUUGAGAAUCCCUUCCACUGUUCCUUCUGGGACAUAAAGUUUGUACAUCCCACUGCAACUUCAGGGGAAUAACAUUUGGUUUCUUCCAUCCAUCCUCUUGCAACUCAGAGGUAUAUGAUUUGUAUCAUCUUCAAUCAGUUUGAUCUAUUACACCAUUCCCUGGGUGUAAUGACCAGAUGUAUGUGCCUGAUAUUUGCAUGAAUGGAGAGUAUCAUUUUUUUUCCCGAGAAUGAUCCUCUUUUACCCUUUGGUUGACAUUGCUCGUUUUCGUCGAGAUUGUAUCAUCGACGCGAUGUCUUGUCUUUUUGUUCAACAAAUAAAAAGUCCAAACAGAUAAUCAUCUUUCUCCAAUAUUUCCAACCCUUAAGCUUAGUGAGUUCUAAACAAUAGUCCUGUUUCAGGUUCUUGUAUUAUUUAGAAGCUUCCAGAGUAAUAUGAAGAACUUCUUUUGUAAAUGUAUUUUUGGUCCAUUAAUCAUUAUUUCAAUGCAAAAUACUCGAAAAAGAUCAAAACAAUGGACAAGAAGGAAAUUGAUUGGGAGCAUAGCUGGAAAUGAAUAAAUUAAUCAAAGAUUGCAAAUGCAAUAAGAAGGAAAUUAACUCAAAAGGAAUAAGUUAAUCAAAGAUAGCAAUGCAAUAAGAAGGUAAUCAAAGAUAAAAAAUUCAAAAUGGGCAAAAUGGAAGCUAGGUGCCCUAGAUAUCGCAGCUUAAGCUUCUCUGUACCAACUUUUUGAGGACCUUUCUGAGCUCAAUAUGUGUUCAGGGGAUCCGGAGUACUUUGUCGAUGCCCCAAGACGUAGCAUACUUUUUCAUUGUUAAUUCAGGCAUAGCAAGACUGUUGUAUGCCACACUUUGAUCAAAAUUUGAGCCGCCCUUUUCGGGUUUUCAAUUCAAAUCCCCUUUGGUCUCAAGGCGGCCUUUGCGGGUUUUCGCCUUGGCCUCUCCUUUUUCUUUUCUUUUCUUCUUUUUUCUUUUUUUUUUGAAGGUCUCAAAGCAUCAUUUGCUGGUUUUCACCUUGGCCUCUCACUUUCUAGGUGAAAAACUUCUUGACAGAAUCUGAAUUCGCAAGAUUGGGCAAUUUUUUUUUUACCAUCCAUUACGAAAUGCUCCUCUAGAACAGGCCUUCUCCACUAUAUAAUGUAAUAUCCCGAAAAUUUUUACAAUAAAAUAUUAUCCAUGAUGUAGUAAAAUAAGGAAAUAAAAUGACAAAAAGGGAAAUUUUGAGUUAUGUUAAUAUUGAGAAGUAUAUUAUGAUAUAUUAAUUCAAGAAAGGACUAAAUUGAAAAAGUGAGAAAAGUUUUGUUGCACAAUAGUGAAUACUCAAAAUUUGAGGGGUUAAAGUGUAAAUAUGAAAAAUUUGAAGGACCAAUAGUAUAAAUAUUUUAAGGGUGGAAUGAUCUAGAAACUAAGGAAAAUGGAUGAAUUAGGACCGAAUUGAAUAGAUAAAGAACUAUGAGGGACUAAAUUGUAAUUUUACCAAAUUAAAUGAUGACUCAAUGAUGGAAUUUUAAAAGAUAAUGAAGGGUAAAAUGGUCAAUUAGAAGAGAGAGAAAUCUAGAAAGUAAUAAUGAUGCUAGAGAUAUUUUGAUAUUUUAUAAUUAUUUAAUUAGAUAAAUAUUAUUUUAUUAAUAUUUUAAUAAGAUAUUUUAUUAUUAUUUUAUUAGUAUAUAAAGAAAGAAAGAUGAAAAAUUCUCAUCCAUAUUUCCCAUGCACUAACGUGAGAGAAAGAGAGAAAGAAAGAAAAUUUGACUUUCUUUACAAUUUGGUCCUUUUACCAAAAAUUCACCAUUUUCACCCAAAAAUCAAAAGAAUUUCCAUAGCUACCAAGAGAGAAAAAUGUUAAGGAGACUAUGAGAAGUUAGAAUAUCAAGUUGUAUUCAAGAAAUAGAAGCUGAAGGAGAGAGAAAAUCAAGAUGAAGAUUGAAAUCAAUAGAACAAGGUAAGAACAUCAUGAUUUCAAUAUAUUUUUAAGUUCGAUAUUAUUGAAAAAGCAUGGGAUUAAUGUUAAUGUAGAGUUUCCUUACAUAUAGUCCUAUGUUCUUGAUAUGUUAGUGAAGAGAAAACAAGAGAAAGUGAUGAGAAAUAGUGUAGAGAAAGAAAUAAGGGUGUUAUAAAUAUGGUAAAUAAUAUCUUGCACUAAAAUAGUUUUGGACAGCAGCAGUAGUCUAAUUUUGAAAACUCACUAAAAAUUGUAUAAAUCAAAUUAUAGGAUGAAUAAAAUAUGAAAUAAAACUUAUUGAAUCUAGUUUCUUAUAAAAGAAAUUAUGUAAGCAAUGGAAUUGUAAAUCAUGAGAUAUAAUAAAUUUUGUGAGACAAGGUCAGAAUGAUUUCGGGUUCCCCUGCUCUAACUUUGGAAAAUCAUCAAAAAUUUUAGAAAAAUAAUUAUGAGCUUAAAUUUAUAUGUUUAUAAUCAUGAAUUAGUAUAUUUUUAAUAGAAAUAAACAAUAACAUCAUUUGAAUUCUGUACGAGGAUAUAAUUAAUUUUUAGUGAAGAAGGAUCAGAACUGUCAGACAGCAGAAUAGGGGUAAUUUUAAAGAAUAAACUGUACUUAUUGGCUAAACAAAAAAUUUUGAAAAUUUUAUGGUAAGAAUAUAUAUUAGUAUAGUUUCAGUGAAAAUUAGCGAAUCUUAAUUUGGAGUUCUAAAGCUCCAGAUAUGAAUAAUUUAGUGACUAUGACACAGAUGGACAGCUUGAAUAUUCAUAAAAGUAAAUAAUAAAAAAAUAUAAAUAAUGUUACUUACAAGUGUGUUAUAUACAUUAAGGAUGUGGAAUGGAGUGGAGGAGGAGGAAAACAUAUAUGAAUUUUCAUUUAGCAUGGCUAAUUUGCACAUUUUAGGCUCAGGGACUAAAUUGAAUAAAAGUCAAACUUUAUGGGCAAUUUUGUAAAAAUUUUAGAAAUGACCAAAUUGCAUGAAAUGGAUUAAUUUUAUUAUUUAAAUUACAAAAUUUAAUGAAAUUAUUAAUUUAGUUCAAGAUAGGGGGAAAACAUGUUUUAGGGAUUAAAUUGAAAAGUGUUGAAAUUAUGGAAAAUUCUGAUAUUUUAUAGAAUUCAUGGAUUGUUAUCAAUAUGUAUGAGAAUAAUAGCUGGAAAUAAUGAUUAAAUUGCAAGAAUUUUAUUUUCCUAACCCUAAGGAUGAAAUUAUCAUUAAUUAAAAGUUUAGGGGCAAAAUGGUAAUUUUUCCUAAAGCAUUAAUUAAAUGCAUUAGAGUAUGAAAUGAAUGAAAAUGAUGAUCAAAUUUAUUUAUAAAGAUCCGGACGACUCAAAUAUGAGACUUGAUCGUGGAAAAGAAAAGAUAUCGGAUUAAUGAAAUUAUAAACACAAAUAAGCAAUGAGGUAAGCUCGUGUAACUUGAAUUAUAUUCUUAAAUGCUUGAGAUUGUAUGUUAUUUAUGUCAAUAUGAUUUCAACGUUCAUUGUAUAAAAAUUUAUGAAACAUUGACAUAUUUGAUAAAAGAGGAAGAAAUCCCGGUUGAAUGAAAGGAAAAUUCGAUGGAUCUCUGAAAAGGAACUGACGGUAAAAAGGAUCUAGCCCAGACAGGUGAUCCUAUCCUGAUAUAGCCCUCCCGAAGAAUAUGUGGAAAAUGGAUUUAGCACGGACGUGUAAUCUGAAUUAGGGUCUGAAUUUAGCCUGGACUGGUAAUUCAGAUCCAAGCUCAUUAGAGUAAUUGUCGUUGCAGGGGAUUUAGCCUGGACUGGUAAUCCCGACAAUACUCUAUGAGUUUAUAUUAUAGGGGAUUUAGCUUGGACUGGUAAUCCCACUGUAAGGAUGAGGUUCGCGAGAGUGUGCUCUCUAAUAUGAAAUGUGUAAGACCAUGGUUGAAAGAUACCAUGACAACCUGAUAUGAAAUGUAUAAGACCAUGGUUGAAAGAUACCAUGGCAACCUAAUACGAAAUGUGUAAGACCAUGGUCGAAAGAUACCAUGGCGACCUGAUACGAAAUGUGUAAGACCAUGGUUGAAAGAUACCAUGGUAACGUGAUAUGAAAUGAAUAAGACCAUUGUUGAAAGAUACCAUGGCAACAUGACGGGAAAUGAAUAAGACCAUGGUUGAAAGAUACCAUGGCAGCGUGACAUGAAAUGAAUAAGACCAUGGUUGAAAGAUACCAUGGCAACAUGAUAGAAAAUGAGUAAGACCAUAGUUGAAAGACACUAUGGCAUCAUGUCAAAGAUAAAUAAGACCGUGGAUGGGAGACGCUAUGGCAUCUAUUGAACAAUUGAUAUUCAGGUAAUACGUAUCAGAUGACGAAUGGUUAUAUGAAAUGGUUGUGUGAAAUGUUUACAAGAACUGGUCAUAUAGAAAUAUAUGUACAAAAUAGUUGUAGGAAAUAAUUAUAAAGAUAGAUAAACGAAAUAAGAAUAAGUACAUGGAAUAUAAUUUAUGUUAAGUUUGAUAUAAACUUUACCGAAAUAAAUAUACAUAAAAUAUAUGGAAAUGAUGGAGCAUGAAAUAUUGAUAUAAUGAAAUUAUUGAUAUAUACUUAUGAAGAAACGGUAAGAGCAUGAUAUGUUUCAUGACACGUACAUAUAUGAUUAUCUUUGAUAUGUUGAUACAAGAAAAUUAUGUAAGUUGAGACUAUUAUUAAACUCAAGUGCGAUAUGUGGAGAAAAUAAGUAUAUCAAUGUUGAAUGUAGAUGAAAUAUGUGCAAGUAUACUAACAAUGAUGUUGUUUGACGCUUAGACAAGUGCCAAGCUAUUGAUUGAAUGAUAACAUAUUUAAUUAUAAGGAGCAUUGAAAUAGUAAGUACUUAGAUGAAAAUAAAAUUUAAGAUUUUGCGAAAAAAUUUUCUAUGAUCCCGAUUUAAUUGCGGUUGGUUUCUAAUGUAUGUUUGGGGCUUCGAGGGCCCAAUAGAGAGGCGUUAUGAUUAUUCUCAAAAUAUGAAUAAUAAAUUACUCAGAAUUAUCUAAAAAUGUUCAGUAAACUUUGGUAAUGCCUCGUACCCUAUUCCAGCAAUGGAUACGGGUAGGGGGUGUUACAUUUAGUAGUAUCAGAGCUAUGAUUUUGUCGGUUCUCGGACCAAACGUAGUAUAUGUGAAGACUAAAAACACAUGUCAUUAUAAUAUGUGAUAGUGUGAUAUCUUUCGACUCUGAUAUGAUUUGUUUUAUUUAUAGAAAGAGAUGUUUUUCAACCAAGCUAAUUCCGAUAAUGCUAAAAGCGAUACUCAAGUAUAUGAGUAGAAAGUUGAUUAUGAUGAAUCGGUACCAAAAAAAAAAGGUAUAAAUAAAUGUUUUAUAAUACAUGUCAAUGAUGAAUAUUAUGUUAUAUGUAUUAUUAAAAGCAAAUUAUAUUACUACAUGAAAUAUUGUGCUGAUGACUAAAUUACAAAAUAUAUAAAAGUAAUAUAUGAAGUACAUGAUAAGGAUUAUUAGGGAAUUAUGAAUGAAUAGUAAAUUUUAAAGUAUAUUACAUGUAUUAAAGAUACAAAAGAUAUAAGUAUAUGAAUUAUUGGUACAAAGAUUAAAUUGUAAAGCAUGUAAAAGUAUUAUGCGAAAGGUGUAAAAGUGAUAUGCGCACAUGAAAUAAUUUGCCCAAGUAGACAAGAUUAGAACUACUAAGAUAUUAAGGCACCUCAGCAUGCUCUCUGAUUACUAGCACGUUAGUGCUCUCUGAUUAUUAGUACAUUCAACACAUUCGUACUCUCUGUAUAGCAGUUCAGUGUUCUCUGUUUAAUAGUGCAUAAUAAUGCACCUCUGUAUAAGUCUCGUAUAUCCGAAAUGUUCUAUCUAGUCUACUGGGCCUCUGCUAAGUAAAAAGUAAACAAUUUUCGUUACGAGGUAAAUGAUUAUCUCUGAGUAAAAAUAUUAGUUAUGAUGAAGCAGAACUCGUAAAAGUACGAAUAAAUGUUUUAUAGUACUAGAGAAUGAUAAAUUUUAUAUGAGUAAAUAUAUGAAAAUUAAAUUAUGAGACUUUGCGAUCUAUACCCCUUUACUAGUACAGUUAUAUACAAUGAAAUUCAUGAGAUUUAUAUUGAUUAAGUUCAGAAGUGGAAAGUGAAAAGUUCAAUGGUUGAACAAUUAAUAAUACAGUCGGAACUGAGAAUGAGUUAAUAGGUAAAGAUGGGUUCUUAAUAGAGACAUCAAAUUUUUUCUGAAAACUAGCUGGGAUAUACAGUACUACUGUUAAAUAAAGAAGUUAUUUAUAGGAAAAUCGAUUUGUUCAAAUAUAGUAUUUACAGAAUGGUUAACUGAAAAUUUCUUCCGAAUUAGUUUCUUGAGUGAACUGAAUGAUGUGAAAUUAUUGAUGACUAUACUAGUCAAUGGAUUGGUAAAUAAAUUGAAAAAAAAAUAUUUGAAUAUAGCUGUUAUAAAUAGGUAUAUUAUAGUAAAGUUUUUUGGGGAUUUUAUACAGGUAUUUUAUAUGUACUGAUUUUUCAGAGGAAUAUGCAACUGUUCAUGUUUGGAUGCUAUAAUCAAUAUAUGGAAAGGUUGGAUAAAUAUGCUAAUAGAUAGAAAUUAUCGUAAGUCUAAUUGAUUCACAAGUGGUACUACUCUAUCUUUCUUUGGCUUUCCAAGCUAAUAUAUGUGAUAAAACACUUGAUAAUAAGAUUCAUAUGAUAUUAUCUUCUAUUUCUGUUGGUAAAACCUCUGAGAGACAAAUGUGAAAUAUUGAAUUGAAAAUAAAAUGUGAAAUGAAAGGAUAGAGAAUGGAUAUAAAUGAUAAACUAGGUAAAUAUGUGCAGAAAGAAACUAUAAAAUUAUAGAAAUAAUGAAAUUCAUGAUCAAAAGAAAAUAAGGAAAUUUCGAGGACGAAAUUUAUUUUAAGGGGGAGAAAAAUGUAAUAUCCCAAAAAUUUUUACAAUAAAAUAUUAUCCGCGAUAUAGUAAAAUAAGGAAAUAAAGUGACAAAAAGAGAAAUUUUGAGUUAUGUCAAUAUUGGGAAGUAUAUUAUGAUAUAUUAAUUCAAGAAAGGACUAAAUUGUAAAAGUGAGAAAAGUUUUGUUGCACAAGAGUAAAUACUCAAAAUUUGAGGGGUUAAAGUGAAAAUAUGAAAAAGUUGAAGGACCAAUAGUAUAAAUAUUUUAAGGGUGAAAUGAUCUAGAACUAAGGAAAAUGGAUGAAUUAGGACCGAAUUGAAUAGAUAAAGAACUAUGAGGGACUAAAUUGUAAUUUUACCAAAUUAAAUGAUGACUCAAGGAUGGAAUUUUAAAAGAUAAUGAAGGGUAAAAUGGUCAAUUGAAAGAGAGAGAAAUCUAGAAAGUAAUAAUGAUGUUAGAGAUAUUAUGAUAUUUUAUAAUUAUUUAAUUAGAUAAAUAUUAUUUUAUUAAUAUUUUAAUAAGAUAUUUUAUUAUUAUUUUAUUAGUAUAUAAAGAAAGAAAGAUGAGAAUUCUCAUCCAUAUUUCCCAUGCACUAACGUGAGAGAAAGAGAGAAAGAAAGAAAAUUUGACUUUCUUUACAAUUUGGUCCUUUUACCAAAAAUUCACCAUUUUCACCAAAAAAUCAAAAGAAUUUCCAUAGCUACCAAGAGAGAAAAAUGUUAAGGAGACUAUGAGAAGUUAGAAUAUCAAGUUGGAUUCAAGAAAUAGAAACUGAAGGAGAGAGAAAAUCAAGAUGAAGAUUGAAAUCAAUAGAACAAGGUAAGAACAUCAUGAUUUCAAUAUAUUUUUAAGUUUGAUAUUAUUGAAAAAGCAUGGGAUUAAUGUUAAUGUAGAGUUUCCUUACAUAUGGUCCUAUGUUCUUGAUAUGUUAGUGAAGAGAAAACAAGAGAAAGUGAUGAGAAAUAGUGUAGAGAAAGAAAAUAAGGGUGUUAUAAAUAUGGUAAAUAAUAUCUUGCACUAAAACAGUUUUGAAAAAUCACUAAAAAUUGUAUAAAUCGAAUAUGAAUAAAAUAUGAAAUUAAAACUUAUUGAGUCUAGUUUCUUAUAGAAGAAAUUAUGUAAGCAAUGGAAUUGUAAAUCAUGAGAUAUAAUAAAUUUUGUGAGACAAGGUCCGAAUGAUUUCGGGUUCCCCUGCUCUGACUUUGGAAAAUCAUAAAAAACUUUAGAAAAAUAAUUAUGAGCUUAAAUUUAUAUGUUUAGAAUCCUGAAUGAGUAUAUUUUUAAUAUAAAUAAACAAGAACAUCAUUUAAAUCUUGUACGAGGAGAAAUUUAAUUUUUAUUGAAGAAGGGUCAGAACUGUCAAACAGCAAAUUAGUGGUAAUUUUAAAGAAUAAACUGUACUUAUUGGCUAAACAAAAAAUUUUGAAAUUUUUAUGGUAAGAAGAUAUAUGUCUAGUUUUAGGUAAAAUUAGCGGAUCUUAAUUUGGAGUUCUAAAGCUCCAGAUAUGAAUAAUUUAGUGACUAUGACACAGAUGGACAGCUUGAAUAUUCAUAAAAGUAAAUAAUAAUAAAAAUAUAGAUAAUGUUUCUUACAAGUGUGUUAUAUACAUUAAGGGUGUGGAAUGGAGUGGAGGAGGAGGAAAACAUAUAUGAAUUUUCAUUUAGCAUGGCUAAUUUGCACAUUUUAGGCUCAGGGACUAAAUUGAAUAAAAGUGAAACUUUAUGAGCAAUUUUGUAAAAAUUUUAGAAAUGACCAAAUUGCAUGAAAUGGAUUAAUUUUAUUAUUUAAAUUAUAAAAUUGAAUGAAAUUAUUAAUUUAGUUCAAGAUAGGGGAAAACAUGUUUUAGGGAUUAAAUUGAAAAGUGUUGAAAUUAUGGAAAAUUCUGAUAUUUUAUAGAAUUUAAGGAUUGUUAUCAAUAUAUAUGAGAAUAAUAGUUGGAAAUAAGGAUUAGAUUGCAAGAAUUUUAUUUUCCUGACCCUAAGGAUGAAAUCGUCAUUAAUUAAAAGUUUAGGGGCAAAAUGGUAAUUUUCUGGAGCAUUAAUUAAAUGCAUUAGAGUAUGAAAUGAAUGAAAAUGAUGAUCAAAUUUAUUUAUAAAGAUCUGAACGACUCAAAUAUGAGACUUGAUCGAGGAAAAGAAAAGAUAUCGGAUUAAUGAAAUUAUAAACACAAACAAGCAAUGAGGUAAGUUCGUAUAACUUGAAUUAUAUUCUUAAAUGCUUGAGAUUGUAUGUUAUUUAUGUGAAUAUGAUUUGAAUGUUCAUUGUAUAAAAAUUUAUGAAACAUUGACAUAUUUGAUAAAAGAGGAAGAAAUCCCGGUUGAAUGAAAGGAAAAUUCGAUAGAUCUCUGAAAAGGAAUUGACGGUAAAAAGGAUCUAGCCCGGAUGGGUGAUCCUAUCCUGAUAUAGCCCUCCCGAAGAAUAUGUGGAAAAUGGAUGUAGCACGAACGGGUAAUCUGAAUUAGGGUCUGAAUUUAGCCUAGACUGGUAAUUCAGAUCCAAGCUCAUUAAAGUAAUUGUCGUUGCAGGGGAUUUAGCUUGGACUGGUAAUCCCGACAAUACUCUAUAAGUUUAUAUUACAGGGGAUUUAGCCUGUACUGGUAAUCCCAUUGUAAGGAUGAGGUUCGCGAGAGUGUGCUCUCUGAUAUGAAAUGUGUAAGACCAUGGUUGAAAGAUACCAUGGCAACCUAAUAUGAAAUGUGUAAGACCAUGGUUGAAAGAUACCAUGGCAACAUGACGGGAAAUGAAUAAGACCAUGGUUGAAAGAUACCAUGGCAGCAUGACAUGAAAUGAAUAAGACCAUGGUUGAAAGAUACCAUGGCAACAUGACAGAAAAUGAGUAAGACCAUAGUUGAAAGACACUAUGGCAUCAUGUCAAAGAUAAAUAUGACCGUGGAUGGGAGACGCUAUGACAUCUAUUGAACAAUUGAUAUUCAGGUAAUACGUAUCAGAUGACGAAUGGUUAUAUGAAAUGGUUGUGUGAAAUGUUUACAAGAACUGGUCAUUUAGAAAUAUAUGUACAAAAUAGUUGUAUGAAAUAAUUAUGAAGAUAGAUAAACGCAAUAAGAAUAAGUACAUGGAAUAUAAUUUAUGUUAAGUUUGAUAUGAACUUUACCGAAAUAAAUAUACAUAAAAUAUAUGGAAAUGAUGGAGCAUGAAAUAUUGAUCUAAUGAAAUGAUUGAUAUAUACUUAUGAAGAAACGGUAAGAGCAUGAUAUGUUUCAUGACACGUACAUAUAUGAUUAUCUUUGAUAUGUUGAUACAAGGAAAUUAUGUAAGUUGAGACUAUUAUUAAACUCAAGUGUGAUAUGUCGAGAAAAUAAGUAUAUCAAUGUUGAAUGUAAAUGAAAUAUGUGCAAGUAUACUAACAAUGAUGUUGUUUGACGCUUAGACAAGUGCCAAGCUAUUGAUUGAAUGGUAACAUGUUUAAUUAUAAGGAGCAUUGAAAUAGUAAGUACUUAGAUGAAAAUAAAAUUUAAGAUUUUACGAAAUUUUUUUCUAUGAUCCCGAUUUAAUUCCGGUUGGUUUCUAAUGUAUGUUUGGGGCUUCAAGGGCCCAAUAGAGAGACGUUAUGAUUAUUCUCAAAAUAUGAAUAAUAAAUGACUCAGAAUUAUCUGAAAAUGUUCAGUAAACUCCGAUAAUGCCUCGUACCUUAUUCCGGUAAUGGAUACGGGUAGGGAGUGUUAUAUAUAAGGUCCUCCCCAGCUUGAUGUCCACUUUCCUCUUAAGUCCUUAUGUAUAAAAAAGAUCUUUUUCAACAUCAAGUUUCCCUCAUGGAAUUAUCUAGUGCGAACCUCUUUAUCGUAAGCUUGCAUCAUUCGUUUUUGGUACGUUUGACCAUGACGGGUAACUUUCAAUCUCUUUUAUUAAGUUCACUGGAUCCAUUCUGCUUCUUCCAAUUUCAGUUUUGACAAGACUCGGAGAAAAGUAAUCUCAUUUUCAAUGGGCGAAAGUGCUUCUAUUCCAUAAACCAAUGAGCAAUGUCUUGCCCCAACUAAGGUCCUAACCGACGUUCGAUAAACAUAGUGGAUAAAUGGUGAUUUCUUAUGCCAAUCUUUAAAAGUCUCGGUUAUCUUCCCCAUGAUCCUUAGUUUUUUUUGGUUGCUGCCUUUGCUGCACUGCAAUAUGACGCCUAAUCUUUGAACAGACUGCAAACUCUUGACAUUUUGUAGUUGUGUUAGGCAUGAUCCUUUCUGGCAUUCUUUGUUGGCACCUCUUUUCUCUUUUUUUAUUCAAAAUUUGAUGACUGUCGACUGAGUAAUAUUGACAUAUGAAGCGGCUUUCACCCUCUUGGUGAAGUAAUUGAUGCCUGCUAGAAGCUUUCGACGAGAUCGGCCCAAUAACCUCUAUGCCUCAUAUAAAGAAAAUCUACGAAAAAAUGAAGGGACACAUGGAUCUUGUCUCCAUAAAUUUGGCAUUUACGACAUACUGAUGCAAUCUCCUUAUACGGUGGACCAGCAGAAUCUAAAUCUCAUGAUUAGCCUGGCCAUCGUAAAACCAUUAGCAUAUGCUGUUCAAACACCUUGUAGCAUCCUCACGCCUUAGUAACCCAAGCAUAUCUUGAUGCGAUCAUGUGAAAACAUCUUUGACUUCUUGGAAUGACUCAAUGAUGUCUCGCUUUGUCUUUAGGGUGAUGCAGACUCUGAUGUUUGCUUCUUUCUCUUGUCCUAGGCUUACUGUCCAUUGACUUUUUGUAAAGUAGGAUCUGUUUUCAUCUUACUCUACCAUCCUUAACAAAUCAGGAGAUAUGUUACAGUCUCUGUCAUCUUCCAAGUACUGAAAUCCCUCAAGACACAUAUCUCGCUCAAAAGAAGAUUCUGGGUCAGUAGCAACGUCGCUCAUGUCGUUGAUAUCUAGAGACCUAUUGAAGGCAGAUGCCAAAGAAUAAAUGAUUUUAAGGAUGAUUAUUUGUACGGUAUGAUCAUGAAUGAAGAAUAAAUGAAUAUUUGAAAGAAAGUCCAAAGAACAAAAGAAUCUAAGAACAAUUAUUUGUACCGUAUGAAAUGAAAUAAAAGAAUAUUUGCUUAAAAAGAUGUAUUUUAUUGAAAUAAAGACUUAGGACACAAGCCUAUUUCACCAAAGGAUUCUUAUUGCUUCUAGGCUUAAAGCAACAAGCAUGUUUUAAAUAUUACUCUAGAUUAGCUCUAAAAAUAAAGGGAUCUCUUCCACAGUCCCAUUGUUCAAAACACUCCCAAGUACGCAAGGGUUUGGAAACUUUUAUUCCCUUGUUCCCUCUUUGGAUAUGUCAUUCAGAUUCCACGAUAUUCCUUCUAGGCUUUUGACUUGUUCAAGGCAUUACAACUCUUUUGCCUCCACUUUCAAAUCGCAUUUACUGCAUUGUCUGAGCGAUUUGGUUCUGAGGAAUUGUCAAACUUCACAACUCCUAUUUCAAUGAACCUUUCGACCAACUUUUUAAAUGUAGUGCAGUUUUCAAUUGAGUGUCCCGUUAUUCCUACAUGGUACUCGUAUUGAGCAUUCUUAUUAUACCAUUUUGGGAAUGGACGUUGCACGGGUUUCGAGUAGAACGGAGACACCACAUGUACAUCAAAGAGAUUCUGAUACAACUCCUUAUAUGACAUUAAGAUGGGUGUAAACCGAAGUCUUUCUGCAUUCGGCCUCGAGUUAGAUUCCUACAUUGAAGAGCCUUGAUAGCUAGUGGUAAUAGUCCUCGGCUGGCCUACGUUGACCAAUUUGGGAUGCCUUUUACUCAUAUUAUUCACUUCAUUUUCAUUUCUCUUUGGGGUUGGUCUCUGAGCGCUUUCUCUUGCGUCUAUCUUCCCGCUUUUGAUUGCAUUUUCAAUCAUCUCGCCGGACAUUACUAUAUCUGAGAAGUACAUUGUAGCGCUUCCCAACAUAUGGGUAAUAAACGGGGCUUUCAGAGUGUUGACAAAAAGCAUCGUAGUUUCUUUCUCCAUAAGAAGUGGCUGGACUUGUGUCACUACCUCUCUCCAUCUUUAGGCAGAUUCCCUGAAGUUCACACUUUUCCUUUUUUCCAUAUUCUGCAGUGUAAUUCUGUCGGGCGCCAUGUCUAUCACGUGGCCAUAUUGCUUCAUAAAAGCCUGUGCCAAGUCCUUCAAUAAAUGGAUUUUGGCACGGCUCAGAUGGUUGUACCAUUUGGCAGCUGACCCAAUCAGACUAUUUUGGAAGCAAUGAAUUAAUAGUUGAUUGUUAUCAACGUAACUUGUCAUUCUUCGGUAGAACAUCGUGAUGUGAGCUUUAGGACAACUAGUCCCAUUAUACUUUUCAAAUUCUGGAGUCUUGAAUUUCGGCGGGAGUACUAAAUCUAGAACCAAACUGAAAUCUUUGGCGCUGACCCUGCAAUGGUAAUCAGCAUUUUCCAUUGCUCUAAGUUUUUCCUCCAACCACUUGUAUCGAUCUUCGAGUUGUUUUGGCAGUUCAACCUUGCUUUUUCUAUUCCUGCCAUUUUGUCUAGAUCAGGAACUACAUGAUUGGUUGGACUGUUCCUUGGAUUGGAACCUGAGCCCGUCGGGUAGUUCAUGGGUGCCGAGGUAUCGGCCUGAUGUUGUUGGGAUCUAAUAGCAAUAAGUACAUCUUGCGAACAUGUCUGAUCGUUUAUCGGGAUGAAAAUCGGAGGGUACAGAGACUCCUCAUUGUCCUCCCCAGCAUUGAUCAUGGAGUUUUUUCCUUUUUCUAGCCCCUUAGUCAGUAAUUGGGACAACUGAUUCAUCACAUUCUUUUGGGACUCUAGCAUUUGGUCCCUCAUAUCAUGCUGGAUCUUUGCUAGUUGCUCUUGCAUUUGCAGUUGUAACUAGUCUUGCAUCUCUCUUUGAAGUUGUUCAAGUCUUUCCAAUCUUUGAUCCAUAUCUUUUAUCUUUUUUCGUGUACCGUAAAGAUGCCUAGUCGUUUGAAUUUUUUUGGUUCCCAGGUUAACUAAAAUAAUUUUACCUAAUUAGAGUGCUUUAGGGAAAUUCUAAUGCAAAUGAUGCAAUGCAAUGCAAAUGUAUGGAAUGAAUGCAAAAGAAAGGAAGGCGUUGAUUCUAAAUUCAAUUUCAUUAGAACAACUUUUCUAGAAAACAAAUUCCUUUACAUAAAACGGAUUACAUAUACGACCUUUCUCUCAUAUUCCAAGCGAAGACACCUAUCUUCCUUUUCAUAUCUGGAUGUUAUGGUCGAGUCUUGCAAAUUUUCUAAAAGAUAUCCCCAUUAACUCCUUUUUGCUUGAUCUAGGCUGCGACUCGUUGCUCACUUAUCCCCGCGAUACUCGUCAGCUCCUUUAAGAAAGUCAAGACGUAACGGCCCUCGAAUAAUCUUUGUCGGUUUUAAUCCUCAGGCAAUGAAGCAAAGUUGUGUAUUUCUUCAUGGGCUAUCAGCCUUCUAUCAUUGUGUUUACUUGGACCAUAUUUAGACAACCGUGUUAUAAUCCACUUUAUCAAGAAAUUCGUUUUCUUAUGACAAACUGUUCUAUUUAGCAAUCAAAUAUGAAUCAACACCUCCUUUCUAUGAUGAUGUAAUGCAAUGCAGUUAUAAACAAAACACAAACAAAACACGUUAGUACAGGAGAAAUAAAUAACAAAUAAAGCACUUAUUCGGGUGACCACUAGGGGUUCGGAGUGGCUCUACCUAGGGUAAGCUCCUAGGUCUCUCUAUAUGUGGCUCGGUUCUAAAGUAAGAGUACCCGAACUAGUAGAUUCCUUGAUCCUCACCCAUUAUAGGCUCAUAUAGAUUAAGUUCGGUUCAGGGGGAUACAUUUCUCUAUGACCAUGGGGAGAUGAAAAUCUUACGAAAUCAUAGGUAUAGAUGUAUCCCGAAAGUAAUCGACUAGCCCAUGCGGAGGUGAAAACCUCACGAAGGCAUAGCUUCUCACUCCCACUUAAAAGGUGUGACCACAGCGGUCAUGCAAUGCAAUGUACGAGGAUAUAUGCAUAAGAAAAACUCGAAGCAAUAAAGAAAAAAGGAAAAAUAAUGAAAACCGUAAGAAAAACUGAUGAAAUGCAAUGAAGGGAUCAUAAGUUUAAAACGAGUUUUCAAAUUUUCAACAAAGGACAAAAAUCAAUCAAUUUAUGGCUUGACUCUCAGGGUCCCCAGCGGAGUCGCCAAGCUGUCGAAACCAUUUUUUUGAAAAACGGGGUCGACUUUGGUUUUGAAAAUGGAAACAAAAAUUGAGAGUCGCCACAAAUCUUUUUUGUUUAGGUGUGAUCAGAUCACCUAAAAAUUUGGUCAUUUUAAUAGAACAUUUCGAUUUACUAAAAUAACAAUUUUGGUCUACGAAAUUUGAGAAAACAGGUUCGGGAAUCGGUUACGUACGAGGAAGGAUUAGCACCUUCGUAAUGCCCAAAAUUGGUACCUAAUUGAUUAAUUAAUGUCUUAAAGUCGAAAUUUAAAAACUCGAGAACAAUUUAGAAUACGAUCCCUCUUUUUAUUAAUGUUAAUUUUACAAAAAUAUUUGAAUAAAUCAAAGGAGAUGCUAAAGACCUUCUUGUCUCGAAGUAAUAAAAUGUCACAUCCAGUACGUUAGGACACGACAUUUUAAACCCUCGAGAAUAAGAUUGUCUUUUGAUUUUCAAAACUCGUGUAUUUUAAUUUUAAAAGGAUAUUCGAUUAUUUGGUCAAGCGAUAAAUCGAAACCCAGUACGUUAGGGCACAAUUUCUCGAAUUUCCAAACACGAAAUAUUAUCUUUAUUAAAAACUCAUUUUCUAUGAAUUUUGGUGGAAAUUAGUGAAAUGCUAAAAUGAUACAUAUAUAUAUGGUUUAUUUAAUUAUGUUAAAAAAUCAUUUAAAACUUUUAAAAAGGGUCAUUCGCGGCUAAUAACAAUAGUACAACAAAUAUUUGAAGUGACAAUAAUAUCGCAUAAAAAAAACAACGUAUAACAUUAGCAUCAACGAACCAUAAUGUCGUCAAACAUUAACAACAACAAAAAUAUGAUGCAAAUGAUAAUAUGGGGAACAAGAAUAACAAAUAACAAUAACAAAUUCAAAAAAAAAACAAAUAAAGACAAUAAAUAAAUAAAAAAAAUAAAAAAGGGUCUAAAUAAAAAUUUAAAAAAGAGCAAAUAAAUAAAAGAAAUAAAAUGUUAAAUAAAACACGUAAAAUGAUAAUGACAAUAAUAAUAAUCUAAAAUUUGAAGGUAUAUAUAAAGAUAUAAAAUAAAUAAAUAAAUAGUAAAAUGAUAAUAAUAGGAAACGAUGAAAAUAAACAAAGCGUAUUUAAAAGAGUAGAUAAAAAAAUGAUAUUAAUAAUAUAAUAAAAAAUCUGAAGUUUAAAAAAAACUAUGUAAAAGUAUAUAAAUAAAUAAAAUGAUAAUAACAAGAAUAAAAUGUAUAUAAAAAAUAAAAGUAAUAUUAAUACAUAAAUAUAAAUAGAAGUAUAAUGAAUAGAAAUAUAAUAGAAACAUAAAUAAAUAAUUAAAAUUAGAGAAACGGUAAUAACGUUAGAAUAAUAAAAUAAACAUGAAUAUAAAUAUAAUACUAAUAGUAAUAAUAUAAUAAUGACAAUAGUAACAAAUAAUAAUAAUAAUAAUAAUAAUAAUAAUAUCAAUAAUAAUAUCAAUAAUAAUGAAGAUAACAAAUAUGUAAAGAAUGUAAAAAUAAAAUGUAAGCAAUUUAAUUUUAAAUGUGUAUAAAAAUAAAGAAAUGAUAGCAACAAGAUAAAUAGAUAAAUAAAUAGUAAUAAUAAUAAUAAUAAUUACAAUAGUGAAACAUGCAAAUGACAGAAUAAAUAAUAAUACAAAUUUAAAAUACAAAAUAAACGUAUAAAGAAAUAAAUAAAUGCAUGAAUAUAUGAAUAAACAAAUAAAACAAAACAUAACAAUCUAUAAAGGUUGAAAUUAAAUGAAUAAAGGGUUAAAUCGAAAUUUGAAAUGAAAUUUAGAGCCUAGAUUAUAAUAAAAAUGACAAAUAAGGACCGAAUCGAAACUAAAUGAGGUUAAUGGGGAUAAAUCGUGAAAAAUAAAAAAGAAGGGGCUAACACUGAACGCGCGAACAAAGUGGAAGGGCCAAAGGGAAAAUAUCCCCGCCCUUCAAAACGCUGCACCUCAUGCAGGAUUAAAAUGAAAUAAAAGUGAAAUCAUCUGGCCAAAUUAAAAAAUAAAGAAAAUUGAAUUGUGGAGUUAUUAAGAGGCGGGAGGACCAAAAGGGUAAAUAUCCCCUUUUGCAGAAACACGCGGAUCCCAUGGUUAAGGGUCGGGUCGACCCGUUUUAUGCAAAACGACGCCGUUUUGGCGCCUGAAACCAGGGCCCAAAACGACGUCGUAUGAUCCCCUUAUAAAUGCCAAAUUUUCAACAAAAGAAAUAUUCAUUCCUUCAGCCUCUUUAAAAAAAAAAUGGACCCUCCCCUCUUUUUUUCUCUACUAGGGUUUCAAAAGAAACCCAUCAUCACCGAACAGCCUUGGCUCCACCGUGGACGGUGGUCGGAGCCACGCUAAGAUCGGACUCGGGUAAGUCCCCAUUCCCUUCCUUUUUCAUUUUUUUACUUGAAAAUAGAUUUGUAAUAAUAUAUAAAAAGAAAGAAUAGGGAAAACGAAAAGAAAAAAAAGAAGAUAAAAUCAAGAUCAACCUCUUUUUUUUAUUUUGCUUUUGAUUUCUGAAAUAUUUGUGAUACAAUCUUUUUUUUUGUAGAAAAACCCCCCCGUUACAAUCUAUUUUUUGUGGCUUUAUAGCCAAUCUAUUGUUCACUUUUUGCUACUGUUUCUAUCAUUUCUUGCUGCUAUCUUUUGCUUUUGUGUCCUCUUUUCUCGCUGUUUGCAGGUCCUUGGAGGUGCAGACGAUGGGACGGGGCAAGGAGUGGUUGAUCCUUGAGCGUUGAAUGCACUGACCAGGCACGUGGGGAGCGACGCACACUGCUGCUAGGUUUUUUUUUUUGUUUCUUCUUUUUUUUUAGGGUUAUGGACUUGUAAAAUUUUGGGCUAGGGUAGUGUUUGGUUUGAUUUGGGCUUGUUGUUAUUAAGGCCCAGUCAAAUUUGGGCAUUUACAAAUAUCACCACCACAAUAAUCCAUAAAAAAAAAAAAGAAUAGAGAGAAAUACAAUACAUUAUCGGUACAGGUUGUGGAUGCAAAUAGAGUAGAUAUUAUGUUUUGGAUUUAUGUUCAGGUCAUAUGUGGAUCAACAACAUGUAUUGUUAGAAAUUACCUUGCAUGGUCGUUGGGGAUCAAAUCAAUGAUUUCAUUGCUGGCUCUGUUUUCCUUGUAUUUUCAGCUUCAAUUUCUUUUGCCUAGAUUUUGCCGGAUUAUCUUGUCGAAUCUAUUCGAAUUAGAAAUUUCAGUUAUUGAACUAGAAGUCUUAAAUUUUGAUUUGAUCGAAAAAAAAAUAAUUUGAAUUCAAACCCGAAUUCAUCCUAAGCUAAAUUGUUUAUUUACUCGAAUUAAUUUAAAAUAAUUUGAACUCGAAGAGAUUAGAAUCCAAAAUACUUCAAAUCCAUAUGACCUGAUUUGUAAAAUCCAAACUCAAAACAAUUCAAACCUAAAAUGCUCCGAAAAUUUUAAAACUUUAAUUAAUUUGAUUCAAAUUCAUCCACCCAAUUGAAGACAAAUCUACUUGAAUCUACUAGUUUUUUAAUGUACCCUUAUCUAUGAAAGACUUUAAAAUUGAAAAUGACAGAUUAGGUAUUGUUAAGUGUUUUUCCGUUGUGUCUCAUUGAAGGGGACAAUCAAGUAUUUAUACACAUUGUUAUUGUUCAUGGAAUUGACGUUCUUAGUAGGUUCUAUACAUGUUGGACACAUGUACUUUUGGUUUGUCUGAUGGACUUCGUGGCCCCCACAUGUAAACUCUUUGGGUCUAUAUGCAAAUUGGAACCGUGGACUCCCCAUGUGAGCACUCCUUGGCAUAUGCGAACUGAGAUUGCGAAUUCCCCUUGCUAAGCCCCCACUGUAAGGCCUGCACACAUGCAUCCAUCUAGUAGAGCCCAGCCGAGUCACGGGUAAACAACUUUAGACUUUAUCUACAUUUUAAGUUGGUGAUCAUAAAAACAUAACAGGUCUAGACUUACUCAUGAGUUUAAUAACCCACUCUAAUUAAGAUAAAUGUGAGUAUGACAUUUUUCAUCUUGGUCAGGUACGUCCCGCUUGAAUUAAAGAUUAAUGACAAAAAUAUAUAAAGGUUAAUAAAAGAUUAUAUAUUUUUAAUAGUUUAUUAUUUUAUGAAUAGCAAAAUGGGUUGCUGGGUCGAACUGAAUGUUGCCUCAGCUUAGAGUUUUUUUUUUUCAAUUAGGCCCUUUUUUUUUAAAUCAGGCUCAAUCCAGCUGGCCCAUGCACAUGUCCACAACAUUUAAAGGAAAUAUGUGGAAUAGUUGGCAAAAUUUUCAUCCACCAUUAAAUCAUCAACCACGGUUGACCAAUUGAAACUAGUAGUUUCUUUUGAAGUGUCUCCUUAAAAUUAAUUGAGUAUUAAUUUGUUGCUGCAUUACUUGAAAUUUACGAGUUUGAAAUGUAUAAUGUUCCCUCAAUGAUUUGGGUAAUAUAUGGACAUAAUUUUUUACCAUUACUAGAUAAGUGUGAAAUCGAAACCAAAAAGAAAAUCCAAAAGUCGUUGAAAAUAAAUGUUAAUUGUAAGCUGCAACUUGAAAAACAGACUUAAAUUUCAAUGGAUGAAAACGAAAAGUUUAGGGAGUGUGGGGGUUGGCAUUUAAGAUUCAAUGAGAAGCUGAAAAGUCAGAUGAAAAUUAGGUGAUGGGAUAAAUGUAUGGCGGCUUUGGUUAACCACUGACUGAACUGUGACAUUUUAGUGCAUAAACCUCAGCCUGAACGUAUGAAUCCACAAUGCCUUGAGCAUGAAGUAAUCUCUAUUUUCUUUCGUAUUUUAUUGAAACAAUGAAUUUGUUUUCCUUAAAAAUCUGGGUAUACUAUAUAGCAAUUAGUCAAAUCAAGUCUUUUAUUAACAGUUGACUGAAUAUCUUUUCAUGGAAAAGCAGUGGAAAUUAGCCAAAGAACUGUCACAUGAUCUAGUUGAGUAGUCAUUAAUGAUGUCUUCAAACAGAAACGAAAGGAAGGGAAUUCGAUAAAAGACAGUAUAAUUCAAAGCAGAAAAUAAAUGACAAAAUGAACAAUAUGGCUAUGGGUUUGCGUACGUUGAUAGUACUGCAAGCACUGUUUUUGUGUGUUUAAAAUCAAACAUAGCGUGAUCGUCAUUAAAUGUGUGUUGGCCAAGCAACUGUUCUCUGUAAUCAUUUACAACCAUUUAUAUAUAUCCAAAACUUUCUCUAUGAACCAUUGAAUUGUUAUCAACUAAUCUAUAACCCACCCAUAUUGAUGGAUGAAUAUUGAAGAUUUCGGAUAUUGAAAACACAACCACAACACUAUAAUCCCAAACUAACUAAUCACUACAUUUUAUGCAUGUAAAUCUGUAAAAAUAUCGUGAAAAUAUUUGUAUUUAGAGUUUGAUUGUAUUUUAGUCCUUUUUUUUUUUCCUAAAAGGAAAGUUCUAUCUAUUUGAUAAAUAUAUUUUCUUUGUUUCUUUUUACAUUACUGGUUAAAUUUUAAUUUUGGUUCUUCUAUUUUUUUUAUAUUAUAUAAAAAAGGUUAAAUUUUAAUUUAAAUCCUUAUACUAUGUUCAAAUUUGAGAUUUAAUUUUUAUAAAUUAAUUUUAACAUAAUGUGACACAUCAACAUUUAUAAUGUUAUUAGUUAAUCUAAAUAUUUUAUUCUAAUUAAAAUGCUAACAUAAAUUUUAAUAAUUUUUAAAAAUAUUAAAUAUUUUGUUAAAUUCAUGUCCAUUAUAAUGUUAUUUUUUUGUCACAUGAUUAUCGAGUGAGUACUUUUUAAAUUCUAGAAUGUUACGCCAAUAAAAUUGAUAUAAGAAUUUUAACGAUGUUAACAACUGGACUUAAAUUUUUAAUUUCUAAACAUAAAGGAACUAAAUUAUUAAAAAUAAAAAUAUAGUAAUUAAAUUUCAAAUAUACACAGAGUUUAAAAAGUAGAACCAUAUUAUAAACUUUAAAUUUUAAUUAUUUAGUUCAAAAACAAUUAAUACAACACAAAACUGGAUAAGAAACCAUACUAAUGUUAAAGAAAAGAUCCUACUUAUCUUAAUUAUCUCAUGUCAAAAAGUCAAUUAAGUUCAUAUAUUAAAUUCACACUCAAUUAAGUUAUUGUCGUUAAUUAAAAUAAUUAAUUAAAUCUCUCCAUUAAGAGUGUCUGUCAUUAACCAUGUUGACCGUUAAAAUAAAUUGACGAACUAAUCAAACGGUUACAUGUCGUAGCUUUUGGUUUAGUCUAUUAUUUUUCUCAUACAAAAUGGUUAAAAAAAUCAUAAAAAUUAUAUAAAAAAAGAAAAUAUUAAAAUUAAUAUAAAAUUAUAAAAAUAUAAAAACUUAUAAAUAUUAUAAAAUAUAAAAAAUAAUAAUAAAUUAUAAAAGGAAAUUUAUAAAAUUAAUAAAGUUUAUUCAAAAUAUUUAAAGUUAAAAAAUGUAUUAAAAUUCUUUUUUUGAUAUAAUGCUUAGAACUAGCUAUAGCCCCUCCCUAACUCAUAAAUAGGAGGAUAAUGUGCUUCAAUGCACUCAAACCCAUAUCCUCUUGUAUUGAAAACAAUGGCCAUGCUAAAGACUCAAUUAACUCGUAUUAGAAUUCUUUAAAAAUAAUAAUAAAAAAUUGUUACAAUUUAUUAAAAAAUAUUUAAAAUGAUAUAAAGUUAUAAAAAUUAUAAAAUAAAUCAUAAAAAACUUGAAUUGGAUCGGUUAUCCCCAAAUUGACAAGGGUAUUGGUCUGGGGAAAGCCAUUAGACCAGUUGACCUAGGAAUUGGGUAGUUAAAUUGAUUUUUUUAUUUUUAAAUACUUUUUUCAAAUCAAAAUUUCCUUAUCCAACUAUUAUCAUAUGUCAAAAUGAAAUAUUCUAACCAAAGUUUUUAGUAUCAGACUGGUGGUCAAAUCGAUCAAGCCACCCGUUUUUCAGUUCAAUUGAUCUGCCUAGUUCAAUUAAAUAAAAAUUAAAAAAAUAAAAAGAAUAAAAAAUUGGUUCAACCGUUUGGUUCCCAAUUCAAUCGAUCUAAUGGCUUUCUCUAGACUGAUACCAUUGUUGAUUUCGAUCUAAUUGGUCCAACUGACUAAUUCGAUCUAGUUCAAAUUUUUAUGAUUUUUUUAUAAUUUUUGUAAUUUUAUAUAAAUUUUAAUACUUUUUAUGAUUUUUAUAAAAAUUUUAAAUAUAUUUUAUUAAUUUUUUUUAUAAAUUUUUAUAAGUUUAUAUGAAUUAAUUGAUGUUGAUCAAUUUUGCUUUCAUCUCAUAAAAGACAUUGAUGUGAACAAGUACUUUAUAUCCGAAAAAAAGUCCACAUUAAACUAAUAGGUAAUGUGACAUUUAAAGACGUCUCUUACUUUUUAUAGGAUUGAUUGUGAUAAUGAUAUUAUUAGGUGCAAUUUAAUAAGUGUUGAGCAAGUUGGGAAAAAAUAGUCGAAGGGUUAAAAUACCUUCUUAGCCCUAAUACUUCGGCAAAAUUAGAAAUUUAAAAUCUCUACAUUUAAAAAGUUACAAAUUUUGUUUAAUACCUUAGUCUAAUCAUUAUUAUCAUAAGUAUUUUUCAAUCAAAAUUUGUUUAACUUAGCAUGUUGAUUAGGUUACCAUCAUAUAAUUUGGUAUAUGAUUGACAGAAAAUAACCAUGUUAAGUUGACAAUUUUUUACAGAAACUAUUAAUGAUGUUAAAUAAUUAGAGUAAGGUUCUAAAUUGGAAAAAUAAUAAAACUUGUUUUUUUAACUUUUAAAGUAUAAGUAUUAGAUCUAAAAAUUUGUAAAGAUACACAUAAAAAAAACUUGUUUCAACCAAACCAAAAUAAAGUCAAAUUGAGAAGAUUUCGAGUAAUUAAUCCAAUUAAUUCAAUAGAUAAGUUGAAUCAAAAAUAUUUUUUUUAAGGAUCUUACAAGUAUAUUAGUAAGUACUUGAAUGAUUACCUCAAUCAAAUUAGUAUAAAACAUAAAUGGAUUGAAAUUUAAAAUAUAUUUUAGAUAGAGUUACACGUUGUGGGAUUUAAAUUUAAAAUAAAUUCAGGUGAGAAAAUAUUGUAACACCUCGUUACUUGACUUGAUUGUCGGGUAUGAGUUAUAAGGUGUCAUAUUCGUUACCGAAGCAAUUACGAUUAAAUUACAUUCAUUUUCAAACCAUUAAACAUUCAAAUGUAACUAAAACAAGUGUAUUAAACGAUACAUAAUCAUUUUCGGGUCUUAUAUGAGCUUACGAAAGAUCUUUUACUAACCUGAGCUCGAAAUAGGACCAAAUAAUAAGGAUUCUAAAAUUUUGGGUUGACGUUGCAACACUGAGGGUUUCUUGUCACGAUGCAACUCUCUAUUUGGUGCUCAUCGUGACCUUGAAGCAACGACAUCUCCACAAGGACUUUGCUCUAUUUCUCGUCGCAACAUCAAUGGUUCAUCAUUGUAAUGUGACUCAUUGUUUCCAAAAAGGACCAAUUUGAAACAAGUUUUAAAAACCUGUAUUAACAUGAAUAAUCUCAAUCACAAUCAAACAACAUAUUUACAAUUGCAUAUUAGACAAAACAUACCAAAACGGUACUUCAAAAUUACAUUACGCGGCUAAGUUUCAAGUUUGACCAUUUUCGAUACAAAACCUACUUAAACCCUAGGUAAAUGUCAUUUACAAUUGAAAGGGUACUUUUACCAACCUAUUUAACAUUAUUCAUAAAUGUUCAAUUUCCAACUUGAUCUCUAAUGAUCAUAUCAUAUAAUACAAUUAAGAAUUAAACACAAAUAUUUAUAUAAUCAUGACAUUCAAUUUAAUUUUGGAGUCUACCAACUCAUCCAUAUUCGUUUUGACCCCCAUGCCUCGUUUCGAUGAACUUACAAGUUGGAACGCAAACUUUUUUCAAAAUACAAACCAUAUUCGAUUAUACCAUUAAUUUCAUAACAUUACUAAUUCCAUUUUCAGCAUUAAAAUCAUAUUUAUAGUUUAUAACCCUUAUUAACCUGACUCAGAAUGGGACGGAACACACUAGACUGGCAUCAAAGUGCAUUAUCAUAUUAGUUGAAAUAAAGGAAUCUGGCACAUAAAGUGUAUACUGGUGCACAAAGCGCAUAUUAGUACAUGAAGUGCAUCCUACCGCGUAAGUGCAUAAACUCCUACACAAUCCAAUCCUAUGGCUUGCCAACUAUAAAUGUACCACCAAGUCUAUUGUUUAGUGUACGGUUUGGCUAAUUUAAGCUCCCAUAAUCUCAAAUCUAUAAAAAUUACAAGAAAAGACGUUGAUUGCACUUACAGUUUUAUAGCUGAAAUCUUUAGGGCACAAAAAUGAUGGUUUCUCUUUUAUUUUUCUUCUUUGGCCGGUUGGAGAAGAUGAAUAUUUCAUCUCUCCUUCCACCAAUUUCUAUUUAUAUUAUGUUUUACUUUAAUUAAACUAGUUUAAUUAACUUAAGCCUUAAUUAUUUAAGCUUAAUCAUUAAUUAAGUUAAGCAAAUGGCAUCAUCCAUCAUCUCCCACUAACAUAUAUUUAAAAUAGGUAUAUUUUCUAUUUUAGUCCUUUGGUUAAUUUCUAUUUAAGUCCCCAAGUCUUAAUCUAAUUAAAAAUUAUAGUGAUUAAACUUUUACAAUUUAGUCAUUGAGCCUUAAUUUCUCACAAAUUUGGCUAAAUUACUUAACCAAAUUUUAAUUCAUUAAUACACUAACUCUGUAAAUAUCCCUAUUUAAUAUUUACGAAUUCAAUUUAUAGUAAUGAGAUUCUGAAAUUGCCUUUUCUGAUACCACUGAAAACCGGGUCGUUACAAAUAUAUAGUUCAUACAUAAUAGAACUCAAAUCUAAAACAUCAAAAUUUCAAUUUUAUCAUUUUAGACAAAACUUCAUUUGGAAAUUUAAAACAAAAUUUAAAUAUUAAAUAUAAUACUUAACAAAAAAAUUACAUUUUGUCUCACCCAUGAUGUUAGUGGAAGAAAAUAUUUUAAAUUUUUUUUCUUUAAAGAUGAUUUGAAGUUUGGAAAAACAAAAGCGUCAUCAUAAGAAUAUUAAUUAAAAUUGAAAAUAAGAGGUAUUUCUAUAAUUUCAUAAUUGAUUUAGUGAUUUGAUUAAGAGUGACAUCAACUCACUAAAGUAUCUAAAUAUAAGUAUUAGAUAAGAAUUUUGCUAAGUGAUAUGGUUACAACUAAGAAAUUAUAUGAAUCAUAUCUCAUCACACUACACCAAAAUAGACUUUUUCAUGACGUUUUAAAAAUGUCAUGGAAACAACACCAAGAUGUACUAAAAAAGAAUUUGAAUUUUCAUGAUGUUUUUGGUAAAACGUAAAAAAUGUCACGCAUUUACUGUAAAGAACGUAUUUGUGAUGUUUUCACAACACUUCUUCUUUCAUGACAAUUGUAAACAUCAUGAAAAGUCACAAAACGAAAUGAAAAACUACAUAUUUCCUUACAUUUCAAAAUGCCACGUUGACUAAUGAAAAUGUAACAAUAGGUUUGUACAUAUAGUAAAUCACCAUGGAAAAUUAGGGUGAAACAUCAUAAAAAGUUUCCAUUUUGUGACUUUUCGUUACGUCCCUAAGCGCCACAAAAAAUGGAGAGAAACUAACAUAUUUUUGUCUACUUGUGACAUUUAAAAAUGUCACCAAAAUUUUCAAACAAAAACUUUUGUUUUCCUUAUCAAAGGUAACUAUAGUUACAAAAGUGUCAUGAAAACUGUUACUUUCUGCGACACUUAUAUUUUGAAUAAAAGGGAAUGAAAAGAAAAAAAAAUGUCACAGAAAAUAUUCAGAAUAUAAAUAUCAAACGUCCCCAAAAGUCAUAAUGCAAAUAAAAUAAUGAAAUGAGCACAAAUACAUAAAGUCCACCUUACAAAAAUUAAAAUCAAGUACUAAGGUUCAAAUACUAAAACAUAAAGCUAAAAUAAAAAUGAAACUUUUAGUUGAAAUUAAGAUAAAAUCAUACAUGUGAUCAUGAAGAUUGAAGGGUAAAAUCAUGAAAAUUAUCAACCAGAUUGCAAUCUAGAGUCACGUCAGUAACUCAAACAUUAGAUUGAUGAGAUGAGUGAUCAUUAACAUGUUGUGAUGGUAGAAGGGUAAUUGUUCCUGAUGGCAUUUGUGUAGUAACCUUGGCUUGGAGAUCACAAAACUUUCGCCACAAAAUUGGUGGAGGGGGAGUCUCAUUUGUGUAAUCAACUUCUAAAAUCAAUUUUUAUUAGUAUUUAUUAUGACUAAGAUAUCUUUUAUGUCUAUUUUAUGAUUCAAGAAAAUUAAUGUUUUUGGGAAAAAAGAUUUCAUUAACAAUCAUAAUUAUAGUACAAACACAAAUAAAUAUAUGAGUAACCAUAACAUAUAAUUAAACUAAUAUAAAGCAUAAUGGAUGGAGAAUCAGAAAGAAUUGAGCAAUAUCCAUCCAUGAGCAUACACACAUGUUGGGACUAGAGAUCCACAUAUCGUGAACAUGAGUGCUUAACAAUCUAAGAUAUUUGCCCUAAUCAACAACACAAAGGCAUUAUUGGCCAUAUAUAUUGAUUUAACUAGUUCACAAAUGUCUUGUUUAAACAGGGGUGAAGUUAGAAUUUUUUUGAGGGGGUUCUAGGUUAAGUUAUACAUUUUUAUAAGAGUUAAAAUGUGAUUUCACAUUUGUAUUGGUUUAUAUCUUUACGUUUUUUGAAAGAACUAAAUCAAAAUUUAACAUUUUUAGUGGUCACACUAUAAUUUUACCAUAUAUUAUGAUUUUAUGAAUUUGGGGGUCUAAUUUGGAGGUCUAAAGCAUAAAUUCUCUUUUUUUGGGGGGGGGGGGCAUAACCUGUGUUCCCUGUCCUUUAUAUUAAAAAAAUUACAUAGGACCAAGGUGUUUUUGUUUUAAUUGAACUGGUUUCCCAGCCAGGUCAGAUUGGGAUAUCGUUUUCUUUUUAAUAUAAAUAGACAUAUAUCCAAUCUACCAAGAGUAUACCAACUAGUAUAUUUCUCUCAAUUUCUUCACAUUUCUUGAUUUUAUACAUAAACAUCCCAUCUCCAUCACAUUCUCAAGCCUUUUCAAUGGAGUUUUUAAUGAAAAUAUGUCUCCUUUUCCUUUGUGGCCUCAUUUCUCACUUUGUUAACAUGAUUUUCCAGAAGAGAAAUCAGCAAUGCUAUAUGUUGGGUUAUGAAUGUUUCAAGGCUGCCGAUGACAGGAAGCUCGACACUGAUGCGUGCGUGAAAGUUGUGUUGAGGAACAAGAAUCUUGGUCUGGACCAAUACAGGUUUCUUUUAAAAACCAUUGUUAGUUCUGGUCUUGGUGAAGAAACUUAUGGUCCAAGGAAUGUUAUUGAUGGUAGAGAAGAGUUUCCUUCGGAAAACGAUGCACAUGCCGAGAUGGACGAGAUCAUGUUCAGCACUCUAGACACUCUAUUCGAGAAAACAGGAGUUUCCCCGUCGGAAAUCGACAUACUCAUCGUCGAUGUCUCGUUGUUUUCACCAGCACCGUCGUUAACUUCCCGGAUUAUAAACAGGUACAAGAUGAGGGACAACAUUAAGUCCUUCAGUCUCUCGGGAAUGGGAUGUAGUGCAAGCAUGGUUGCAAUCGAUAUGGUGCAGCAGUUGUUCAAGACAUACAAGAACCAGUUCGCCAUCGUUGUGAGCACCGAAUCAAUCGCCAGGCAUUGGUACUGUGGCAAAGAGAAGUCUAUGAUGUUAUCGAAUUGCCUGUUCCGUAACGGUGGGUGUUCAAUCCUCUUAACAAACAAAAGGAACUUGAGGGAUCGAUGCUUGUUGAAGUUAAAGUGUACCGUAAGAACCAAUAUCGGAUACGAUGACGAAGCAUACGGAUGUUGCAUACAGGUUGAAGAUCCACAAGGUUACCAAGGUUUCCUCCUUACAAAAAAACUUAACAAAAGCUGCUGCUAAAGCUUUUACAGGGAAUCUCAAGCUCCUAUUGCCCAAAAUAUUACCAGUUUGGGAACUGCUUCGAUAUGCAAUAUCAACUCUCCGGAAAAAAUCAACCAAAGGCCAAAAUUUAAGUUUCAAUUUAAAUCUCAAGUCUGGGGUUGACCAUUUUUGUCUCCAUCCCGGUGGAAGGGCAGUGAUUGAUGGGCUUGGGAAGAGUUUGGGACUUAGUGAAUAUGACUUAGAGCCAACUAGAAUGGCACUAUACAGAUUUGGAAACACAUCAGCAGGUGGUUUAUGGUAUGUUUUGAGUUACAUGGAAGCUAAGAAGAGGUUGAAGAAAGGUGAUAAGGUUUUCAUGGUGAGCCUUGGAGCUGGGUUCAUGUGCAACAACUGUGUGUGGGAGGUAAUGAAGGAUGGUUUGGAAGAUACUAGGGUUUGGGAAGAUUGCAUUGAUGAGUACCCUAGAAAAAACCUGGUCAAUCCCUUCACUGAGAAGUAUAGUUGGAUCAAUGAUGAGUGCUUGAACUUUGUCAGGCUUGACGAUUAGUUCAAUUAAGGAAAUUGCAGUUCAUGUUUUUCUUUAAGGAAUUUUAAGCAAGUUGCAAUUAUUUGUGUGGAUAUUUGACAGGCAAAUCUGAAAGAUAUCCCUGGUGCUUACAAAUUCAUGUUUGGUUUUCUACCUUUGGUACUUUUUUUUUUUUUUUAUAGUUGCUGAUCAAUUGUUCUAUCAAGCUAGCUACUAGGUCGGUCUAUGUAUUCUCCAAAAGUAAAAAUAUUGUUCUCCUUAAAUAAAUAAAAUGAUUUUACAUAAAAUUAAAAUUAAUGUCAG